rnacentral:lncRNA from 1 species
GGCAGGAGAAAAAAGUCCAUUUUUUCUUGUCCCCUAAGGUGAAAAUACACAUUGUUGAGUGUCACGCCUAUACGCUUUGUCAAAAUGACACAAAAAUUGACACACACAUGUAACUCAAUAAGAUCUACGAAAAAGUCAAUGCGUGCGUAUCUGUCAAAUGUACGGUUAAAGGGUUAUUCCGCAUUUUUUGCCGAUCCGCACACAUUGGAAUUUCGUUAACUCCUCCGAAGGCUUUCUGUCCACCGGCACCACAUUUGCUCAGGCCAAUCUACACCCCAUGGCCAUUAAAAGUUAUUCAAAUCAUGACGCUGCAUCCCACGGUUUAGGUUCUAGGGGGCGCCAAAGACAACCCUAAAAUCCACAUAUUUAAAAGUCUUAUAACUUUUUAUUUUUGUCCUCACUGGCCUCCAAGUUUUCUAGGAUGAUGCAAUGUCCAGCCAUCAACACAUUUGUGAAGGAAUUUUUACUCCCCAAAAGAGCGCCCCCCCAUGGCAGGAGAAAAAAGUCAAUUUUUUCUUGUCCCCUAAGGUGGAAAUUCACACUAUUGACUGUCACGCCUGUACGCUUUAUCAUAUUGACACAAAAAUUGACACACAUAUGUAUCUCAAUAAGAUCUACAAAAAAGUCAAUGCGCGCGUAUCUGUCAAAUGUACGGUUAAAGGGCUAUUUUGCAUUUUUUGCCGAUUCGCACACAUUGGAAUGUGGCUAACUCCUCCUAAGGCUUUCGUCCCACUGACACCAAAUUUGCUCAGGCCAAUCUACACCCCAUGGCCAUUCAAAGUUGUAAAAAUCAUGACGCUGCACCCCACGGUUUACGUUCUAGGGGGCGCCAAAGAUGACCCAAAAAUCCACAUUCUUCAAAGAAUCCACCCCCCCCCCCCCAUAUGGCAGGAGAAAAAGUUAAGUUUUUCCUGCCCAUCGCUCAAUGGCUCAAUCGCAUCGCUCUCCAGGCAACACCGUAAGGAGGAGCAACCUGCCAUUUCGAUAUAUCAUAGCUGUGUUUGUGCCCUCACUCAUGGUCCAGACUUUUUUCAAAUAGGACAUGAAGUUUGUCUGCAGCGAGUGUUUUGGUAGAAACUGCGCCUCCCAUUCAUUAUAAUAGGAAAUGACCACAGACAAGUGCGCACACCAUCUUUGGAUCUUGAGUGUGACGCGAUCGGUAGGGGGAGGCGGUCGCACUGGGGGCGGCGCAACAAGGCUCGGGCCCGACAGUGCCCCAACGGGGUCCUAGUUAUUAUUUUUCCUCCCCUUUGAACUGGAAAAUGGCCCACUUCCCACUGGCGAAAACUCAUGAAAUUUGGCAGGACGACCGGGCCCGGUGAAAAAUUUGAUAUUCCGAAGUCGCCCAAACAAGAAAAUGCAAAAUGGCUCCAUAGCGCCCCCUAAGGUGAAAAUUCACACUAUUGACUGUCACGCCGGUACGCUUUGUCAAAAUGACACAAAAAUUGACACACACAUGUAUCUCAAUAAGAUCUACAAAAAAGUCAGUGCGGGCGUAUCUGUCAAAUGUACGGUUAAAGGGUUAUUUCGCAUUUUUUUCCGAUCCGCACACAUUGGAAUUUCGCUAACUCCUCCGAAGGCUUUCGUUCCACCGGCACCACAUUUGCUCAGGCCAAUCUACACCCCAUGGCCAUUAAAAGUUAUUCAAAUCAUGACGCUGCACCCCACGGUUUAGGUUCUAGGGGGCGCCAAAGAUAACCCUAAGAUCCACAUAUUUAAAAGUCUUAUAACUUUUUAUUUUUGCCCUCACUGGCCUCCAAGUUUUCUAGGAUGAUGCAAUGUCCAGCCAUCAACACAUUUGUGAAGGAAUUUUUACUCCCCAAAAGAGCGCCCCCCCAUGGCAGGAGAAAAAAGUCCAUUUUUUCUUGUCCCCUAAGGUGAAAAUACACAUUGUUGAGUGUAACACCUGUACGCUUUGGCAAAAUGACACAAAAAUUGACACACACAUGUAUCUCAAUAAGAUCUACGAAAAAGUCAAUGCGCGCGUAUCUGUCAAAUGUACGGUUAAAGGGUUAUUCCGCAUUUUUUGCCGAUCCGCACACAUUGGAAUUUUGCUAACUCCUCCGAAGGCUUUCGUUCCACCGGCACCACAUUUGCUCAGGCCAAUCUACACCCCAUGGCCAUUAAAAGUUAUUCAAAUCAUGACGCUGCACCCCACGGUUUAGGUUCUAGGGGGAGCCAAAGAUAACCGUAAAAUCCACAUAUUUAAAAGUCUUAUAACUUUUUAUUUUUGUCCCCACUGGCCUCCAAGUUUUCUAGGAUGAUGCAAUGUCCAGCCAUCAACACAUUUGUGAAGGAAUUUUUACUCGGCAAAAGAGCGCCCCCCCAUGGCAGGAGAAAAAAGUCAAUUUUUUCUUGUCCACUAAGGUGAAAAUACACAUUGUUGAGUGCUACGCCUGUAUGUUUUGUCGUAUUGACACAAAAUUUUACAUACACGUGUAUUUACAUAAGAUCUUCGAAAAAGUCAAUGGCCACGUAUCUGUAAAAUGUACGGUUAAAGGGUUAUUUCGCAUUUUUUGCAGAUUCGCACACAUUGGAAUUUCGCUAAUUCCUCCGAAGGCUUUCGUUCCACCGGCACCACAUUUGCUCAGGCCAAUCUACACCCCAUGGCCAUUAAAAGUUAUUCAAAUCAUGACGCUGCACCCCACGGUUUAGGUUCUAGGGGGCGCCAAAUAUAACCCUAAAAUCCACAUAUUUAAAAGUCUUAUAACUUUUUAUUUUUGUCCUCACUGGCCUCCAUGUUUUCUAGGAUGAUGCAAUGUCCAGCCAUCAACACAUUUGUGAAGGAGUUUUUUCUCUUUAAAAGAGCGCCCCCCAUGGCAGGAGAAUAAAGUCAAGUUUUUCCUGUUCAUCAUUCAAUGGCUCAAACGCACUGCUCUCUCGGCAAAAGCGAAAGGAGGAGCAACUUGCCAUUUGGAUAUAUCUUAGCUGUGUUUGUGCCCUCACUCAUGGUCCAGACUUUUUUCAAAUAGGACAUGGAGUUUUUCUGCAGCGAGCGUUUUGGUAGAAACUGCGCCUCCCGUUCAUUAUAAUGGUAAAUGACCACAAACAAGUGCGCACACCAUCUUUGGACCUUGAGUGUGACGCGCUCGGGUGGGGGAGGUGGUCGCGCUGGGGGCGGCGUGACACGGCUCGGGCCCGCCAGUGCCCCAACGGGGCCCUAGUUAGGGCCCGAGCCAGCUGCAGAGCAGCCGGGCGUAGGCCCUGUUAUUCCUGUAGGGGUUUUUCUUUGUUUCUUUCUUUCUUCUUUUUCCUCCCCUUUGAACUGGAAAAUGGCCCACUUCCCACUGGCGAAAACUCAGGAAAUUUGGCAGGACGACCGGGCCUGGUGAAAAAUUUGAUAUUCCGAAGUCGCCCAAACAAGAAAAUUCAAAAUGGCUCCAUAGCGCCCCCUAAGGUGAAAAUUCACACUAUUGACUGUCACGCCUGUACGCUUUGUCAAAAUGACACAAAAAUUGACACACACAUGUAUCUCAAUAAGAUCUACAAAAAAGUCAGUGCGGGCGUAUCUGUCAAAUGUACGGUUAAAGGGUUAUUUCGCAUUUUUUGCCGAUCCGCACACAUUGGAAUUUCGCUAACUCCUCCGAAGGCUUUCGUUCCACCGGCACCACAUUUGCUCAGGCCAAUCUACACCCCAUGGCCAUUAAAAGUUAUUCAAAUCAUGACGCUGCACCCCACGGUUUAGGUUCUAGGGGGCGCCAAAGAUAACCCUAAAAUCCACAUUUUUAAAAGUCUUAUAACUUUUUAUUUUUGCCCUCACUGGCCUCCAAGUUUUCUAGGAUGAUGCAAUGUCCAGCCAUCAACACAUUUGUGAAGGAAUUUUUACUCGCCAAAAGAGCGCCCCCCCAUGGCAGGAGAAAAAAGUCCAUUUUUUCUUGUCUCCUAAGGCGAAAAUACACAUUGUUGACUGUCACGCCUUUACGCUUUGUCAAAAUGACACAAAAUUUGACACACACAUGUAUCUCAAUAAGAUCUACGAAAAAGUCAAUGCGAGCGUAUCUGUUCAAUGUACGGUUAAAGGGCUAUUUCGCAUUUUUUGCCGAUUCGCACACAUUGGAAUGUGGCUAACUCCUCCUGAAGCUUUUGUCCCAUCGGCUUCAAAUUUGCUCAGGUCAAUCUACACCCCAUGGCCAUUCAAAGUUGUACAAAUCAUGACGCUGCACCCCACGGUUUACGUUCUAGGGGGCGCCAAAGAGGACCCAAAUAUCCACAUUUUUAAAAGUCUUAUAACUUUUUAUUUUUGUCCUUACUGGCCUCCAAGUUUUCUAGGAUGAUGCAAUGUCCAGCCAUCAACACAUUUGUGAAGGAAUUUUUUCUCUCCAAAAGAGCGCCCCCCCAUGGCAGGAGAAAAAGUCAAGUUUUUCCUGCCCAUCGCUCAAUGGCUCAAACGCAUCGCUCUCUCGGCAAAACCGAAAGGAGGAGCAAAUUGCCAUUUGGAUAUAUACUAGCUGUGUUUGUGCCCUCACUCAUGGUCCAGACUGUUUUCAAAAAGGACAUGGAGUUUGUCUGCAGCGAGCGUUUUGGUAGAAACUGCGCCUCCCAUUCAUUAUAAUGGUAAAUGACCACAGACAAGUGUGCACACCAUCUUUGGACCUUGAGUGUGACGCGAUCGGGAGGGGUAGGCGGUCGCGCUGGGGGCGGCGCGACACGGCUCGGGCCCGCCAGUGCCCCAACGGGGCCCUAGUGUUAUUAUUAUUAGGGCCUGAGCGUAGCUGCUAAGCAGCUGCGAGGCCCUGUUGUUCCUGUAGUGGUUUUUCUUUGUUUCUUUUUUCUUUUUCUUCCCCUUUGAACUGGAAAAUGGCCCACUUCCCACUGGAGAAAACUCAUGAAAUUUGGCAGGCAUCCGGGCCUGGUGAAAAAUUUGAUAUUCUGAAGUCGCCCAAACAAUAAAAUGCAAAAUGGCUCCAUAGCGCCCCCUAAGAUGAAAAUUCACACUAUUGACUGUCACGGCUGUACACUUUGUCAUAUUGACACAAAAAUCGACACACACAUGUAUCUCAAUAAGAUCUACAAAAAAGUCAGUGAGGGCGUAUCUGUCAAAUUUACGGUUAAAGGGUUAUUCCGCAUUUUUUGCCGAUCCACACACAUUGGAAUUUCGCUAACUCCUCCGAAGGCUUUCGUUCCACCGGCACCACAUUUGCUCAGGCCAAUCUACACCCCAUGGCCAUUAAAAGUUAUUCAAAUCAUGACGCUGCACCCCACGGUUUAGGUUCUAGGGGGCGCCAAAGAUAACCCUAAAAUCCACAUAUUUAAAAGUCUUAUAACUUUUUAUUUUUGUCCUCACUGGCCUCCAAGUUUUCUAGGAUGAUGCAAUGUCCAGCCAUCAACACAUUUGUGAAGGAAUUUUUACUCCCCAAUAGAGGGCCCCCCCCAUGGCAGGAGAAAAAAAGUCCAUUUUUUCUUGUCCCAUAAGGUGAAAAUACACAUUGUUGACUGUCAUACCUGUACGCUUUGUCAUAUUGACACAAAAUUUGACAAUCACAUGUAUCUCAAUAAGAUCUACGAAAAAGUCAAUGCGCGCCUAUCUGUAAAAUGUACGGUUAAAGGGCUAUUUUGCAUUUUUUGCCGAUUUGCACACAUUGGAAUGUGGCUAACUCCUCCUAAGGCUUUCGUCCCACUGACACCAAAUUUGCUCAGGCCAAUCUACACCCCACGGCCAUUCAAAGUUGUACAAAUCAUGACGCUGCACCCCACGGUUUAGGUUCUAGGGGGUGCCAAAGAUGACCCAAAUAUCCACAUUCUUAAAAGAAUCCACAUUCCCCCCCUUCCCCCAUCCCCCAUGGCAGGAGAAACAGUCAAGUUUUUCCUGCCCAUCACUCAAUGGCUCAAUCGCAUCGCUCUCCCGGCAACACCGUAACGAGGAGCAACUUGCCGUUUGGAUAUAUCCUAGCUGUGUUUGUGCCCUCACUCAUGGUCCACACUUUUUUCAAAUAGGACAUGUAGUUUGUCUGCAGCGAGUGUUUUGGUAGAAACUGCGCCUCCCAUUCAUUAUAAUGGGAAAUGACCACAGACAAUUGCGCACACCAUCUUUGGACCUUGAGUGUGACGCGAUCGGGAGGGGUAGGCGGUCGCGCUGGGGGCGGCGCAACGCGGCUCGGGCCCGACAGUGCCCCACCGGGGCCCUAGUUUUUCUUUUUCCUCCCCUUUGAACUGGAAAAUGGCCCACUUCCCACUGGCGAAAACUCAUGAAAUUUGGCAGGACGACCGGGCCUGGUGAAAAAUUUGAUAUUCCGAAGUCGCCCAAACAAGAAAAUGCAAAAUGGCUCCAUAGCGCCCCCUAAGGUGAAAAUUCACACUAUUGACUGUCACGCCUGUACGCUUUGUCAAAAUGACACAAAAAUUGACACACACAUGUAUCUCAAUAAGAUCUACAAAAAAGUCAGUGCGGGCGUAUCUGUCAAAUGUACGGUUAAAGGGUUAUUUCACAUUUUUUGCCGAUCCGCACACAUUGGAAUUUCGCUAACUCCUCCGAAGGCUUUCGUUCCACCGGCACCACAUUUGCUCAGGCCAAUCUACACCCCAUGGCCAUUAAAAGUUAUUCAAAUCAUGACGCUGCACCCCACGGUUUAGGUUCUAGGGGGCGCCAAAGAUAACCCUAAAAUCCACAUAUUUAAAAGUCUUAUAACUUUUUAUUUUUGCCCUCACUGGCCUCCAAGUUUUCUAGGAUGAUGCAAUGUCCAGCCAUCAACACAUUUGUGAAGGAAUUUUUACUCCCCAAAAGAGCGCCCCCCCAUGGCAGGAGAAAAAAGUCCAUUUUUUCUUGUCCCCUAAGGUGAAAAUUCACACUAUUGACUGUCACGCCUUUACGCUUUGUCAAAAUGACACAAAAAUUGACACACACAUGUAUCUCAAUAAGAUCUACAAAAAAGUCCAUGCGCGCGUAUCUGUCUAAUGUACGGUAAAAGGGCUAUUUUGCAUUUUUUGCCGAUUCGCACACAUUGGAAUUUCGCUAACUCCUCCUAAGGCUUUCGUCCCACUGACACCAAAUUUGCUCAGGCCAAUCUACACUCCAUGGCCAUUCAAAGUUGUAAAAAUCAUGACGCUGCACCCCACGGUUUACGUUUUAGGGGGCGCCAAAGAUGACCCAAAUAUACAUUACAGUAGACAAAGUAGUUUUGCCCACUGAGUGGCGCCAAAGGGACUUGUCUGUGGAGUCUGUGAGUCACUAUUGGCCGUUUUUGACUACUUUAGAUUUUACCUUUAUAUUUCCUCUUACAAAAUUUUUACCUUGCCUUGCCUGGUAUCAUUUUUUUCAGCACAACCUCACCUGUGUCAAUUUACAGUUAUUUUAUCAUUUUGACAUACUAUAUUUACACAUUGGACCCAAAUUCACACACAAAACAUAAAAUCCGAGUGGAAAAAAGUAACGUUUUUACUGUGAAAACCACAAAUAUGUGUGAUGAACUGUUUUUAAAACUUAAACUUCAAAUAAAAAUUGUAAACUUCAAAACAUAUGCAAAUUUUUAACAAAGAACAUAGUAAUUUACCUCUAUUGACAUCAAAAUGCAGGCAAUGGCCCAGGUGUUCUUUGUAAAAUUAUUUACAAAACACUGUAUAGUCUCACAAAUGUCACUUUUUAUUUAUGCCACUACAAAAACACAUGAUGUAAAUGAUGCAUGAUGUAAAACAUGAUGUAAAAAACUUGUGUAGAUCCUCCUCUAUGUUAGUCCAUGUGUAAUUUUUCCAUAAUUCUUUGUUUUUUGCAGCAUUUUUGUUAGUGUAACUGCAGAUUGUGCUGACAGUGUCUAUGGCAAAAAAAAAAAAAAAAAAAACUGAAAAUGCCUCAACAUGAACCCCUGGUGGUCUCUGAGGGUGAAACCUGCUAACUGCUGCAGCUCUGUCAGCUUCAGUCUCCCAUGCAGAGCUCGGAGCGCAUGUGUGGCUCUCCCCCCUAGCAGCGUUGCUAACUCCUCAGUAAGGAAAGCCUGCUUCAUGUCAGAGUCUCUAAACUCCAGAAGAAGUCGAUAAAAGUCACUUUCUUUCUAAAAAAAAAGUCGUUAGGGGGUCUGAAAAGUCAUUGAAUCUAACAACAAAGUCGCUAGGUUUGCAACUACGUGUCCCAGACUGCAUCCCUGCUGAGAGUCCCUCCCUCCCUUCUCAUAUUGCAGGAAGAACGUAAGUUCCCGCCCCUUGUCAAUCAGUCACCAUAUAAUUUUGGAUUGGUUGUUGUGGUGAAGUUUUCCACCAAUAGGAGAGAUGUUGUGGUGUGUAUUUUUUUUCCUUUGGCAAGCCUUUUCCGCCUGUAAGACCUGUCGCUAAUGUCUGCAUGCUAUGUUUUCCUGUCUCAUACAGCGCGAUCGAGCGCCGAACGUGAUCAAAAUAAGCAGAAAACAAGUAUCGCGGACAUAAUUUAUCAUAACUCUGGUUUUAUUUGGCCUAUCAACACAAUUUAAAAACUGUUAUAUAGGUUGAGGUCCUCACUUUUGAGAUAAAUUGAAACGGAGAGUCAACGAGGCUCCGUCUUGCAGCUACAUCCGGUUAAAUAUGUCAUGUGACUUGAACGCACACACACACACACACACAGACACACACACACACGCACACACACACACACUCAGAGUCUGGUUUGUAGCACCUGCAAAAACAUGCUAUUUACAUAUUUGACAAGAAUGCAGAGGCUCCUUUUGCCCCUGAAAAAAAUCAAAUUUCAAACACAACUUGACUGGUCAUUUCUCCAAAAGACAACCAUGAAGCUCCAUCCAAACCUGAAGCAGGCAGUUGGUGCAUGUGUACAGUAACCUGAGGGGAGUGAGGUGACUGCUUCUGAGGAGAACAUGAGCAGUGAAGAUUUACCUUAGAGCUAGAACAGAGACGUGCACAUGAUUAUACAGGGGCAGGGGCUCAAGUUUUUUCCAGUCGUUUAUACAAUUUGGAAAUUAAUGUGAAAUUAAAAAACAAAGUAUUAAUAGAAAGGUAAUGACUGUCCUGUGUAGGUGACAGUGAUAUCCAAUAGGCUAGGCACUCACGAGGCUGGCUGUGGCAAGUGUAAGUGAAAGCAACACGCACUAGCAGGAAGAACAGCAAACGCCGAUGAAGGAAAAGGGUCUUUGCAGUGAUGGGCGUUACCAAAGAGGGCGAUGGCCAGAGGACACAAAUGGGACGGGGAGGCAGCGCGUUGGGGGGGGGACGCGACACAGCUCGGGCCCGCCAGUGCCCCAACGGGGUCCUAGUUCUUUCUUUCUUUCUUCUUUUUCCUCCCCUUUGAACUGGAAAAUGGCCCACUUCCCACUGGCGAAAACUCAUGAAAUUUGGCAGGAUGACCGGGCCUGGUGAAAAAUUUGAUAUUCCGAAGUCGCCCAAACAAGAAAAUGCAAAAUGGCUCCAUAGCGCCCCCUAAGGUGAAAAUUCACACUAUUGACUGUCACGCCUUUACGCUUUGUCAUAUUGACACAAAAAUUGACACACACAUGUAUCUCAAUAAGAUCUACAAAAAAGUCAGUGCGGGCGUAUCUGUCAAAUGUACGGUUAAAGGGUUAUUCCGCAUUUUUUGCCGAUCCGCACACAUUGGAAUUUCGCUAACUCCUCCGAAGGCUUUCGUUCCACCGGCACCACAUUUGCUCAGGCCAAUCUACACCCCAUGGCCAUUAAAAGUUAUUCAAAUCAUGACGCUGCACCCCACAGUUUAGGUUCUAGGGGGCGCCAAAGAUAACCCUAAAAUCCACAUAUUUAAAAGUCUUAUAACUUUUUAUUUUUGCCCUCACUGGCCUCCAAGUUUUCUAGGAUGAUGCAAUGUCCAGCCAUCAACACAUUUGUGAAGGAAUUUUUAAUCCCCAAAAGAGCGCCCCCCCAUGGCAGGAGAAAAAAGUCCAUUUUUUCUUGUCCCCUAAGGUGAAAAUACACAUUGUUGAGUGUCACGCCUGUACGCUUUGUCAUAUUGACACAAAAUUUGACACACACAUGUAUCUCAAUAAGAUCUACGAAAAAGUCAAUGCGCGCGUAUCUGUCAAAUGUACGGUUAAAGGGUUAUUCCGCAUUUUUUGCUGAUCCGCACACAUUGGAAUUUCGCUAACUCCUCCUAAGGCUGGCAUCCACCGGCACCACAUUUGCUCAGGCCAAUCUACACCCCAUGGCCAUUAAAAGUUAUUCAAAUCAUGACGCUGCACCCCACGGUUUAGGUUCUAGGGGGCGCCAAAGAUAACCCUAAAAUCCACAUUUUUAAAAGUCUUAUAACUUUUUAUUUUUGUCCUCACUGGCCUCCAAGUUUUCUAGGAUGAUGCAAUGUCCAGCCAUCAACACAUUUGUGAAAGAAUUUUUACUCCCUAAAAGAGCGCCCCCCCAUGGCAGGAGAAAAAAGUCCAUUUUUUCUUGUCCCCUAAGGUGAAAAUACACAUUGUUGACUGUCACGCCUGUAUGCUUUGGCAAAAUGACACAAAAAUUGACAAUCAUGUGUAUCUCAAUUAGAUCUACGAAAAAGUCAAAGAGCGCGUAUCUGUAUAAUGUACGGUAAAAGGGCUAUUUUGCAUUUUUUGCCGAUUCGCACACAUUGGAAUUUCGCUAACUCCUCCUAAGGCUUUCGUCCCACUGACACCAAAUUUGCUCAGGCCAAUCUACACUCCAUGGCCAUUCAAAGUUGUAAAAAUCAUGACGCUGCACCCCACGGUUUACGUUUAAGGGGGGCCAAAGAUGACCCAAAUAUACAUUACAGUAGACAAAGUAGUUUUGCCCACUGAGUGGCGCCAAAGGGACUUGUCUGUGGAGUCUGUGAGUCACUAUUGGCCGUUUUUGACUACUUUAGAUUUUACCUUUAUAUUUCCUCUUACAAAAUUUUUACCUUGCCUUGCCUGGUAUCAUUUUUUUCAGCACAACCUCACCUGUGUCAAUUUACAGUUAUUUUAUCAUUUUGACAUACUAUAUUUAAACAUUGGACCCAAAUUCACACACAAAACAUAAAAUCCGAGUGGAAAAAAGUAACGUUUUUACUGUGAAAACCACAAAUAUGUGUGAUGAACUGUUUUUAAAACUUAAACUUCAAAUAAAAAUUGUAAACUUCAAAACAUAUGCAAAUUUUUAACAAAGAACAUAGUAAUUUACCUCUAUUUACAUCAAAAUGCAGGCAAUGGCCCAGGCGUUCUUUGUGAAAUUAUUUACAAAACACUGUAUAGUCUCACAAAUCUCACUUUUUAUUUAUGCCACUACAAAAAAACAUGAUGUAAAUGAUGCAUGAUGUAAAACAUGAUGUAAAAAACUUGUGUAGAUCCUCCUCUAUGUUAGUCCAUGUGUAAUUUUUCCAUAAUUCUUUGUUUUUUGCAGCAUUUUUGUUAGUGUAACUGCAGAUUGUGCUGACAGUGUCUAUGGCAAAAAAAAAAAAAAAAAAAAACUGAAAAUGCCUCAACAUGAACCCCUGGUGGUCUCUGAGGGUGAAACCUGCUAACUGCUGCAGCUCUGUCAGCUUCAGUCUCCCAUGCAGAGCUCGGAGCGCAUGUGUGGCUCUGCACCCUUAGCAGCGUUGCUAACUCCUCAGUAAGGAAAGCCUGCUUCAUGUCAGAGUCUCUAAACUCCAGAACUCCAGAAGAAGUCGAUAAAAGUCCCUUUCUUUCUAAAAAAAAGUCAUUAGGGGGUCUGAAAAGUCAUUGAAUCUAACAACAAAGUCGCUAGGUUUGAAACUACGUGUCCCAGACUGCAUCCCUGCUGAGAGUCCCUCCCUCCCUUCUCAAGUUGCAGGAAGAACGCGAGCGCCCAUCCCGUGUCAAUCAGUCACCAUAUAAUUUUGGAUUGGUUGUUGUGGUGAAGUUUUCCACCAAUAGGAGAGAUGUUGUGGUGUGUUUUUUUCUUUUCUUUUGGCAAGCCUUUUCCGCCUGUAAGACCUGUCGCUAAUGUCUGCAUGCUAUGUUUUCCUGUCUCAUACAGCGCGAUCGAGCGCCGAACGUGAUCAAAAUAAGCAGAAAAAAAGUAUUGCGGACAUAAUUUAUCAUAACUCUGGUUUUAUUUGGCCUAUCAACACAAUUUAAAAACUGGUAUAUAGUUUGAGGUCCUCACUUUUAAGAUAGGUUGAAACGAAGAAUCAACGAGGCUCCGUCUUGCAGCUACAUCCGGUUAAAUAUGUCAUGUGACUUGAACGCUGGGGAGCGUCAAUCGAAUCGAAUCAAACCUAACUCUCAGAUGAAUCUUCAAAAUUCACCUCAGAAAUAUGCUUAUUAUUCUUCUCAGAGUACUGCAGGAUACACACACACACAGACACACACACACACACGCACACACACUCAGAGUCUGUUUUUUAGCACCUGCAAACACAUGCUAUUUACAUAUUUGACAAGAAUGCAGAGGCUUUCUUUUGCCUCUGAAAAAAAUCAAAUUUCAAACACAACUUGACUGCUCAUUUCUCCAAAAGACAACCAUGAAGCUCCAUCCAAACCUGAAGCAGGCAGUUGGUGCAUGUGUACAGUAACCUGAGGGGAGUGAGGUGACUGCUUCUGAGGAGAACAUGAGCAGUGAAGAUUCACCUUGGAGCUAGAACAGGGACGUGCACAUGAUUUGCAGGGGCAGGGGCUCAAUUUUUUCCAGUCGUUUAUACAAUAUGGAAAUUAAUGUGAAAUUAAAAAACAAAGUAUUAAUAGAAAGGUAAUGACUGUCCUGUGUAGGUGACAGUGAUAUCCAAUAGGCUAGGCACUCACGAGGCUGGCUGUGGCAAGUGUAAGUGAAAGCAACACGCACUGGCAGGAAGAACAGCAAACGCCGAUGAAGGCAAAGGGUCUUUGCAGUGAUGGGCGUUACCAGAGAGGGCGAUGGCCAGAGGACGCGAAUGGGACGGGGAGGCAGCGCGUUGGGGGGGGGCGCGACACGGCUCGGGCCCGCCAGUGCCCCAACGGGGCCCUAGUUAUUAUUUUUCCUCCGCUUUAAACUGGAAAAUGGCCCACUUCCCACUGGCGAAAACUCAUGAAAUUUGGCAGGACGACCGGGCCUGGUGAAAAAUUCGAUAUUCUGAAGUCGCCCAAACAAUAAAAUGCAAAAUGGCUCCAUAGCGCCCCCUAAGGCGAAAAUUCACACUAUUGACUGUCACGCCUGUACGCUUUGUCAUAUUGACACAAAAAUUGACACACACGUGUAUCUCAAUACGGUCUACGAAAAAGUCAGCGCGGGCGCAUCUGUGAAAUGUACGGUUAGAGGGUUAUUUCGCAUUUUUUGCCGAUCUGCACACAUUGGAAUUUGGCUAACUCCUCCGAAGGCAUUCGUUCCACCGGCACCACAUUUGCUCAAGCCAAUCUACACCCCAUGGCCAUUAAAAGUUGUACAAAUCAUGACGCUGCACCCCACAGUUUACGUUCUAGGGGGCGCCAAAGAUAACCCAAAAAUCCACAGUCUUAAAAGUCUUAUAACUUUUUAUUUUUGCCCUCACUGGCCUCCAAGUUUUCUAGGAUGAUGCAAUGUCCAGCCAUCAACACAUUUGUGAAGGAAUUUUUACUCCCCAAAAGAGCGCCCCCACAUGGCAGGAGAAAAAAGUCCAUUUUUUCUUGUCCCCUAAGGUGAAAAUACACAUUGUUGAGUGUCACGCCUAUACGCUUUGUCAUAUUGACACAAAAUUUGACAAUCACGUGUAUCUCAAUAAGAUCUACGAAAAAGUCAAUGGGCACGUAUCUGUAAAAUGUACGGUUAAAGGGUUAUUUCGCAUUUUUUCCCGAUCCGCACACAUUGGAUUUUCACUAACUCCUCCGAAGGCUUUAGUUCCACCGCCACCAAAUUUGCUCAGGCCAAUCUACACCCCAUGGCCAUUAAAAGUUGUACAAAUCAUGACGUUGCACUCCACGGUUUAGGUUCUAGGGGGCGCCAAAGAUAACCCAAAAAUCCACAUUCUUAAUAGUCUUAUAACUUUUUAUUUUUGUCCUCACUGGCCUCCAAGUUUUCUAGGAUGAUGCAAUGUCCAGCCAUCAACACAUUUGUAAAGGAAUUUUUACUCCCGAAAAGAGCGCCCCCCCAUGGCAGGAGAAAAAUGUCCAUUUUUUCUUGUCCCCUAAGGUGAAAAAACACAUUGUUGACUGUCACGCCUAUACGCUUUGUCAAAAUGACACAAAAUUUGACACACACGUGUAUCUCAAUAAGAUCUACGAAAAAGUCAAUGGGCACGUAUCUGUAAAAUGUACGGUUAAAGGGCUAUUUCGCAUUUUUUGCAGAUCUGCACACAUUGGAAUGUGGCUAACUCCUCCUAAGGCUUUCUUCCCACCGACACCAAAUUUGCUCAAGCCGAUCUACAUCCCAUGGCCAUUCAAAGUUGUAAAAAUCAUGCCGCUGCACCCCAUGGUUUACGUUCUAGGGGGCGCCAAAGAUGACCCAAAUAUCCACAUUCUUAAAAGAAUCCACAUCCCCCCCCCCCCCCCCCCCCCCCCCCCCCCCCCAAGGCAGGAGAAAAAGUCCAGUUAACCCUGCCCAUCGCUCAAUGGCUCAAUCGCAUCGCUCUCCUGGCAACACCGUAAGGAGGAGCAACUUGCCAUUUGGAUAUAUCCUAGCUGUGUUUGUGCCCUCACUCAUGGUCCAGACUUUUUUCAAAUAGGACAUGUAGUUUGUCUGCAGCGACCGUUUUGGUAGAAACUGCGCCUCCCAUUCAUUAUAAUGGGAAAUGACCACAGACAAGUGCGCACACCAUCUUUGGACCUUGAGUGUGAUGCGAUCGGGAGGGGGAGGCGGUCGCGCUGGGGGCGGCGCGACGCGGCUCGGGCCCGACAGUGCCCCACCGGGGCCCUAGUUUGUUAUUAUUAUUAUUUUUCCUCCCCUUUGAACUGGAAAAUGGCCCACUUCCCACUGGCGAAAACUCAUGAAAUUUGGCAGGACGACCGGGCCUGGUGAAAAAUUUGAUAUUCCGAAGUCGCCCAAACAAGAAAAUGCAAAAUGGCUCCAUAGCGCCCCCUAAGGUGAAAAUUCACACUAUUGACUGUCACGCGUGUACGCUUUGUCAAAAUGACACAAAAAUUGACACACACAUGUAUCUCAAUAAGAUCUACAAAAAAGUCAGUGCGGGCGUAUCUGUCAAAUGUACGGUUAAAGGGUUAUUUCGCAUUUUUUGCCGAUCCGCACACAUUGGAAUUUCGCUAACUCCUCCGAAGGCUUUCGUUCCACCGGCACCACAUUUGCUCAGGCCAAUCUACACCCCAUGGCCAUUAAAAGUUAUUCAAAUCAUGACGCUGCACCCCACGGUUUAGGUUCUAGGGGGCGCCAAAGAUAACCCUAAGAUCCACAUAUUUAAAAGUCUUAUAACUUUUUAUUUUUGCCCUCACUGGCCUCCAAGUUUUCUAGGAUGAUGCAAUGUCCAGCCAUCAACACAUUUGUGAAGGAAUUUUGACUCCCCAAAAGAGCGCCCCCCCAUGGCAGGAGAAAAAAGUCCAUUUUGUCUUGUCCCCUAAGGUGAAAAUACACAUUGUUGAGUGUAACACCUGUACGCUUUGGCAAAAUGACACAAAAAUUGACACACACAUGUAUCUCAAUAAGAUCUACGAAAAAGUCAAUGCGCGCGUAUCUGUCAAAUGUACGGUUAAAGGGUUAUUCCGCAUUUUUUGCCGAUCCACACACAUUGGAAUUUCGCUAACUCCUCCGAAGGCUUUCGUUCCACCGGCACCACAUUUGCUCAGGCCAAUCUACACCCCAUGGCCAUUAAAAGUUAUUCAAAUCAUGACGCUGCACCCCACGGUUUAGGUUCUAGGGGGCGCCAAAGAUAACCCUAAAAUCCACAUAUUUAAAAGUCUUAUAACUUUUUAUUUUUGUCCUCACUGGCCUCCAAGUUUUCUAGGAUGAUGCAAUGUCCAGCCAUCAACACAUUUGUGAAGGAAUUUUUACUCCCCAAAAGAGCGCCCCCCCAUGGCAGGAGAAAAAAGUCAAUUUUUUCUUGUCCCCUAAGGUGGAAAUUCACACUAUUGACUGUCACGCCUGUACGCUUUAUCAUAUUGACACAAAAAUUGACACACAUAUGUAUCUCAAUAAGAUCUACAAAAAAGUCAAUGCGCGCGUAUCUGUAAAAUGUACGGUUAAAGGGCUAUUUUGCAUUUUUUGCCGAUUCGCACACAUUGGAAUGUGGCUAACUCCUCCUAAGGCUUUCGUCCCACUGACACCAAAUUUGCUCAGGCCAAUCUACACCCCAUGGCCAUGCAAAGUUGUAAAAAUCAUGACGCUGCACCCCACGGUUUACGUUCUAGGGGGCGCCAAAGAUGACCCAAAAAUCCACAUUCUUAAAGGAAUCCACAUCCCCCCCCCCCCAAGGCAGGAGAAAAAGUCAAGUUUAACCUGCCCAUCGCUCAAUGGCUCAAUCGCAUCGCUCUCCAGGCAACACCGUAAGGAGGAGCAACCUGCCAUUUCGAUAUAUCAUAGCUGUGUUUGUGCCCUCACUCAUGGUCCAGACUUUUUUCAAAUAGGACAUGAAGUUUGUCUGCAGCGAGUGUUUUGGUAGAAACUGCGCCUCCCAUUCAUUAUAAUGGGAAAUGACCACAGACAAGUGCGCACACCAUCUUUGGACCUUGAGUGUGACGCGAUCGGGAGGGGGAGGCGGUCGCGCUGGGGGCGGCGCGACGCGGCUCGGGCCCGACAGUGCCCCACCGGGGCCCUAGUCUUAUUAUUUUUCUGCCCCUUUGAACUGGAAAAUGGCCCACUUCCCACUGGCGAAAACUCAUGAAAUUUGGCAGGACGACCGGGCCUGGUGAAAAAUUCGAUAUUCUGAAGUCGCCCAAACAAUAAAAUGCAAAACGGCUCCAUAGCGCCCCCUAAGGUGAAAAUUCACACUAUUGACUGUCACGCCUGUACGCUUUGUCAUAUUGACACAAAAAUUGACACACACGUGUAUCUCAAUAAGAUCUACAAAAAAGUCAGUGCGGGCGUAUCUGUCAAAUGUAUGGUUAAAGGGUUAUUUCGCAUUUUUUGCCGAUCCGCACACAUUGGAAUUUCGCUAACUCCUCCGAAGGCUUUCGUUCCACUGGCACCACAUUUGCUCAGGCCAAUCUACACCCCAUGGCCAUUAAAAGUUGUACAAAUCAUGACGCUGCACCCCACGGUUUAGGUUCUAGGGGGCGCCAAAGAUAACCCAAAAAUCCACAGUCUUAAAAGUCUUAUAACUUUUUAUUUUUGUCCUCACUGGCCUCCAAGUUCUCUAGGAUGUUGCAAUGUCCAGCAAUUAACACAUUUGUGAAGGAAUUUUUACUCGCCAAAAGAGUGCCCCCCCAUGGCAGGAGAAAAAAGUCCAUUUUUUCUUGUCUCCUAAGGUGAAAAUACACAUUGUCGAGUGUCACGCUUGUAUGCUUUGUCAUAUUUACACACAAUUUGACAACCACUUGAAUCUCAAUAAGAUCUACGAAAAAGUCAAUGUGCGCGUAUCUGUCAAAUGUACGGUUAAAGGGUUAUUCUGCAUUUUUUGCAAAUUUGCACACAUUGGAAUUUUUCUAAGUCCUCCGAAGGCUUUUGUCCCACUGACACCACAUUUGCUCAGGCCAAUCUACACUCCAUGGCCAUUCAAAGUUGUACAAAUCAUGACGCUGCACCCCACGGUUUAGGUUCUAGGGGGCACCAAAGAUAACCCAAAAAUCCACAGUCUUAAAAGUCUUAUAACUUUUUAUUUUUGUCCUCAGUGGCCUCCAAGUUGUCUAGGAUGAUGCAAUGUCCAGCAAUUAACACAUUUGUGAAGGAAAUUUUACUCGCCAAAAGAGUGCCCCCCCAUGGCAGGAGAAAAAAGUCCAUUUUUUCUUGUCUCCUAAGGUGAAAAUACACAUUGUCGAGUGUCACGCCUGUACGCUUUGUCAUAUUUACACACAAUUUGACAACCACAUGAAUCUCAAUAAGAUCUAUGAAAAAGUCAAUGUGCGCGUAUCUGUCAAAUGUACGGUUAAAGGGUUAUUCUGCAUUUUUUGCAGAUUUGCACACAUUGGAAUUUUGCUAACUCCUCCGAAGGCUUUUGUCCCACUGACACCAAAUUUGCUCAGGCCAAUCUACACUCCAUGGCCAUUCAAAGUUGUACAAAUCAUGACGCUGCACCCCACGGUUUACGUUCUAGGGGGCGCCAAAGAUAACCCAAAAAUCCACAGUCUUAAAAGUCUUAUAACUUUUUAUUUUUUUCCUCACUGGCCUCCAAGUUCUCUAGGAUGAUGCAAUGUCCAGCCAUCAACACAUUUGUGAAGGAAUUUUUACUCCCCAAAAGAGCGCCCCCCCAUGGCAGGAGAAAAAAGUCCAUUUUUUCUUGUCCCCUAAGGUGAAAAUACACAUUGUUGAGUGUCACGCCUAUACGCUUUGUCAUAUUGACCCAAAAUUUGACAAUCACGUGUAUCUCAAUAAGAUCUACGAAAAAGUCAAUGGGCACGUAUCUGUAAAAUGUACGGUUAAAGGGCUAUUUUGCAUUUUUUCCCGAUCCGCACACAUUGGAAUUUCGCUAACUCCUCCGAAGGCUUUAGUUCCACCGCCACCAAAUUUGCUCAGGCCAAUCUACACCCCAUGGCCAUUAAAAGUUGUACAAAUCAUGACGCUGCACUCCACGGUUUAGGUUCUAGGGGGCGCCAAAGAUAACCCAAAAAUCCACAUUCUUAAUAGUCUUAUAACUUUUUAUUUUUGUCCUCACUGGCCUCCAAGUUUUCUAGGAUGAUGCAAUGUCCAGCCAUCAACACAUUUGUGAAGGAAUUUUUACUCCCGAAAAGAGCGCCCCCCCAUGGCAGGAGAAAAAAGUCCAUUUUUUCUUGUCCCCUAAGGUGAAAAAACACAUUGUUGACUGUCACGCCUAUACACUUUGUCAAAAUGACACAAAAUUUGACACACACGUGUAUCUCAAUAAGAUCUACGAAAAAGUCAAUGGGCACGUAUCUGUAAAAUGUACGGUUAAAGGGCUAUUUCGCAUUUUUUGCCGAUUCGCACACAUUGGAAUGUGGCUAACUCCUCCUAAGGCUUUCUUCCUACCAACACCAAAUUUGCUCAAGCCGAUCUACAUCCCAUGGCCAUUCAAAGUUGUAAAAAUCAUGCCGCUGCACCCCAUGGUUUACGUUCUAGGGGGCGCCAAAGAUGACCCAAAUAUCCACAUUCUUAAAAGAAUCCACAUCCCCCCCCCCAAGGCAGGAGAAAAAGUCCAGUUAACCCUGCCCAUCGCUCAAUGGCUCAAUCGCAUCGCUCUCCUGGCAACACCGUAAGGAGGAGCAACUUGCCAUUUGGAUGUAUCCUAGCUGUGUUUGUGCCCUCACUCAUGGUCCAGACUUUUUUCAAAUAGGACAUGUAGUUUGUCUGCAGCGACCGUUUUGGUAGAAACUGCGCCUCCCAUUCAUUAUAAUGGUAAAUGACCACAGACAAGUGCGCACACCAUCGUUGAACCUUGAGUGUGACGCGAUCGGGAGGGAGAGGCGGUCGCGCUGGGGGCGGCGUGACACAGCUCGGGCCCGCCAGUGCCCCAACGGGGCCCUAGUUCUUUCUGUUCUUCACAAAGGCCCACUUAGGAUAUCCAUAUAUUGUCAGGGCAUUUUUGAUGUGCUUCUGUUCCUUUUCCUUACAUUCUUUCUUUGUGGGAAUGUUCUCAGCCCGGUGGUUGAGUGUUCUGAAAACACCCAGCUUGUGCUGCAGAGGAUGGUGGGAAUCAAAAAGUAAAUAUUGAUCCAUGUGUGUGGGUUUCCUGUACACUUCAACGUUGAGACACCCAUCUGCCUCCAAGUGUACAGCACAAUCCAAGAGGGCCAAAAUGUUGUCCCUGACAUCUUCACGGGUGAACUUGAUGUUGCUGUCCACUGUGUUGAUAUGGUCUGUGAAGGCCUCUACUUCAUGUGUUUUGAUCUUAACCCAGGUGUCAUCCACAUAUCUGAACCAGUGGCUAGGUGCUUCUCCUUUGAAGGAGGUUAGGGCCUUUCUCUCUACCUCUUCCAUGUACAGGUUUGCCACUACUGAAGAAACCGGGGAGCCCAUGGCACAUCCAUGUUUCUUUCUGUGAUGACACUCUCUGAACUAGAAAUAGGUGGUGCUGAGGCAGAUGUGGUCGGGGUUAAGUUAGUUCUGACCUCCAGUGUGCGGUCCUGUAAGAGGUGUUGUCUUACUGCUUGGACUUCCUCUGUUGUAGGAAUACUCGUGAAAAGUGAUGUCACAUCAUAGGAAACCAUGGUUUCAUCUGGGUCCAGCCUGAUGUCCUUGAUUUUUUCAGCAAAGUCCUGUGAGUUUUUGAUGUGGUGAGUGGUGUGGCCAACAAGAGGAGCAAGGAUGGGGACCAAAUGUUUUGCCACUUUGUAUGUGACUGAGUUAAUGCUGAUGAUGAUGGGUCUAAGGGGGGCCCCUUCCUUGUGUAUUUUAGGUAAUCCGUAAAUGCACGGGACUGCUUCCCCUGGGUAAAGCCAGUAAUAGAGUGGGCGGCCAAUAACUCAAUCCUUUUCCAGCUGUUGAAGUACACUGAUAACUCUUUUUUUCGUAGCUGUUGGUAGGAUCCAGUUUUAUAGUUCCAUAGCUGGCAGUUUCACUGAGAAGGCUUGUUCGUUAUUUUUCCUCCGCUUUAAACUGGAAAAUGGCCCACUUCCCACUGGCGAAAACUCAGGAAAUUUGGCAGGACGACCGGGCCUGGUGAAAAAUUUGAUAUUCUGAAGUCGCCCAAACAAAAAAAUGAAAAAUGGCUCCAUAGCGCCCCCUAUGGUGAAAACUCACCUGACGCCUGUACGCUUUGUCAAAAUGACACAAAAUUUGACACACAUGUGUAUCUCAAUAAGAUCUACAAAAAAGUCAGUGCGGGCGUAUCUGUCAAAUGUACCGUUAAAGGGCUAUUUCGCAUUUUUGGUCGAUUCGCACACAUUGGAAUUUCGCUAACUCCUCCGAAGGCUUUCGUUCCACCGGCACCAAAUUUGCUCAGGCCAAUCUACACCCCAUGGCCAUUAAAAGUUGUACAAAUCAUGACGCUGCAUCCCACGGUUUACGUUCUAGGGGGCGCCAAAGAUAACCCAGAAAUCCACAUUCUUAAAAGUCGUAUAACUUUUUAUUUUUGUCCUCACUGGCCUCCAAGUUUUCUAGGAUGAUGCAAUGUCUAGCCAUCAACACAUUUGUGAAGGAAUUUUUACUCCCCAAAAGAGCGCCCCCCCAUGGCAGGAGAAAAAAGUCCAGUUUUUCUUCCCCCCUAAGGUGAAAAUUCACAUUAUUGAGUGUCACGCCUGUACGCUUUGUCAUAUUGUAACAAACUUUGACAAUCACGUGUUUCUCAAUAAGAUCUACGAAAUAGUCAAUGGGCGCGUAUCUGUAAAAUGUACGGUUAAAGGGCUAUUUCGCAUUUUUGGUCGAUUCGCACACAUUGGAAUGUGGCUAACUCCUCCUAAAUAGUUCGUUCCACUGACACCAAAUUUACUCAGGCCAAUCUACAUUCCAUGGCCAUUCAAAGUUGUAAAAAUCAUGACGCUGCACCCCACGGUUUAUGUUCUAGGGGGCGCCAAAGAUAACCCAAAAAUCCACAUUCUUAAAAGUCUUAUAACUUUUUAUUUUUGUCCUCACUGGCCUCCAAGUUUUCUAGGAUGAUGCAAUGUCUAGCCAUCAACACAUUUGUGAAGGAAUUUUUACUCCCUAAAAGAGCGCCCCCCCAUGGCAGGAGAAAAAGUCAAGUUUUUCCUGCCCAUCGCUCAAUGACUCAAACACAUCGCUCUCUCGGCAAAACCGAAAGGAGGAGCAACUUGCCAUUUGGAUAUAUCCUAGCUGUGUUUGUGCCCUCACUCAUGGUCCAGUCCUUUUCAAAUAGGACAUGUAGUUUGUCUGCGGCGAGCGUUUUGGUAGAAACUGCGCCUCCCAUUCAUUAUAAUUGUAAAUGACCACAGACAAGUGCGCACACCAUCUUUGGACCUUGAGUGUGACGCGAUCGGUAGGGAGAGGCGGUCGUGUUGGGGGCGGCGCGACACGGCUCGGGCCCGCCAGUGCCCCAACGGGGCCCUAGUCUUUUGUUAUUAUUAUUAUUUUUCCUCCGCUUUAAACUGGAAAAUGGCCCACUUCCCACUGGCGAAAACUCAGGAAAUUUGGCAGGACGACCGGGCCUGGUGAAAAAUUUGAUAUUCUGAAGUCACCCAAACAAUAAAAUGCAAAAUGGCUCCAUAGCGCCCCCUAAGGUGAAAAUUCACACUAUUGACUGUCACGCCUGUACGCUUUGUCAUAUUGACACAAAAAUUGACACACACAUGUAUCUCAAUAAGAUCUACAAAAAAGUCAGUGCGGGCGUAUCUGUCAAAUGUACGGUUAAAGGGUUAUUUCGCAUUUUUUGCCGAUCCGCACACAUUGGAAUUUCGCUAACUCCUCCGAAGGCUUUCGUUCCACCGGCACCACAUUUGCUCAGGCCAAUCUACACUCCAUGGCCAUUCAAAGUUGUACAAAUCAUGAUGCUGCACCCCAUGGUUUAGGUUCUAGGGGGCACCAAAAAUAACGCAAAAAUCCACAUUCUUAAAAGUUUUAUAACUUUUUAUUUUUGUCCUCACUGGCCUCCAAGUUUUCUAGGAUGAUGCAAUGUCCAGCCAUCAACACAUUUGUGAAGGAAUUUUUACUCCCCAAAAGAGCGCCCCCCCAUGGCAGGACAAAAAAGUCAAUUUUUUCUUGUCCCCUAAGGUGAAAAUUUACAUUGUUGAGUGUCACGCCUGUACGCUUUGUCAUAUUGACAAAAAAUUUGACACACACGUGUAUCUCAAUAAGAUCUACGAAAAAGUCAAUGCGCGCGUAUCUGUAAAAUGUACGGCUAAACGGCUAUUUUGCAUUUUUUGCCGAUUCGCACACAUUGGAAUGUGGCUAACUCCUCCUAAGGCUUUCGUCCCACUGACACCAAAUUUGCUCAGGCCAAUCUACACCCCAUGGCCAUUCAAAGUUGUAAAAAUCAUGCCGCUGCACCCCAUGGUUUACGUUCUAGGGGGCGCCAAAGAUGACCCAAAUAUCCACAUUCUUAAAAGUCGUUUUGGCCACUGCAGGAGUACAGAGUACUGCAGGAUACACACACACAGACACACACACACACAGACACACACACACACACACACACACACACACACACACACACACACACACACACACACACACACACACACAUACACACUCAGAGUCUGUUUUUCAGCACCUGCAAAAACAUGCUAUUUACAUAUUUGACAACAAUGCAGAGACUUCCUUUUGCCCCUGAAAAAAAUGAAAUUUCAAACGCAACUUGACUGCUCAUUUCUCCAAAAGACAACCAUGAAGCUCCAUCCAAACCUGAAGCAGGCAGUUGGUGCAUGUGUACAGUAACCUGAGGGGAGUGAGGUGACUGCUUCUGAGGAGAACAUGAGCAGUCAAGAUUCACCUUGGAGCUAGAACAGGGACGUGCACAUGAUUAUACAGGGGCAGGGGCUCAAGUUUUUUCCAGUCGUUUAGACAAUAUGGAAAUUAAUGUGAAAUUAAAAAACAAAGUAUUAAUAGAAAGGUAAUGACUGUCCUGUGUAGGUGACAGUGAUAUCCAAUGGGCUAGGCACUCACGAGGCUGGCUGUGGCAAGUGCAAGUGAAAGCCACACGCACUGGCAGGAAGAACAGCAAACGCCGAUGAAGGAAAAGGGUCUUUGCAGUGAUGGGCGUUACCAGAGAGGACGAUGGCCAGAGGACGCGAAUGGGACGGGGAGGCAGCGCGUUGGGGGGGGGGGGGGGCACAGCUCGGGCCCGCCAGUGCCCCAACGGGGCCCUAGUGUUAUUAUUAGGGCCCGAGCGUAGCUGCUAAGCAGCUGCGAGAGCCCUAUUAUUCCCCAAGGGGUUUUUCUUUGUUAGGGCCCGAGCGUAGCUGCUAAGCAGCUGCGAGAGCCCUAUUAUUCCUGAUGGAUUCUUCUUUAGGGCCCGAGCGUAGCUGCUAAGCAGCUGCGAGAGCCCUCUUGUUCCUGUAGUUUCCUUCUUUAGGGCCCGAGCGUAGCUGCUAAGCAGCUGCGAGAGCCCUCUUGUUCCUGAUGGAUUCUUCUUUCGUUAUUUUUCCUCCGCUUUAAACUGGAAAAUGGCCCACUUCCCACUGGCGAAAACUCAGGAAAUUUGGCAGGACGACCGGGCCUGGUGAAAAAUUCGAUAUUCUGAAGUCGCCCAAACAAAAAAAUGAAAAAUGGCUCCAUAGCGCCCCCUAUGGUGAAAACUCACCUGACGCCUGUACGCUUUGUCAAAAUGACACAAAAUUUGACACACAUGUGUAUCUCAAUAAGAUCUACAAAAAAGUCAGUGCGGGCGUAUCUGUCAAAUGUACGGUUAAAGGGCUAUUUCGCAUUUUUUGCCGAUCCGCACACAUUGGAAUUUCGCUAACUCCUCCGAAGGCUUUCGUUCCACCGGCAACAAAUUUUCUCAGGACAAUCUACACCCCAUGGCCAUUAAAAGUUGUACAAAUCAUGACGCUGCACCCCACGGUUUACAUUCUAGGGGGCGCCAAAGAUAACCCAAAAAUCCACAGUCUUAAAAGUCUUAUAACUUUUUAUUUUUGUCCUCACUGGCCUCCAAGUUUUCUAGGAUGAUGCAAUGUCCAGCCAUCAACACAUUUGUGAAGAAAUUUUUACUCCCCAAAAGAGCGCCCCCCCAUGGCAGGAGAAAAAAGUCCAUUUUUUCUUGUCCCCUAAGGUGAAAAUACACAUUGUUGAGUGUCAUGCCUGAACGCUUUGUCAUAUUGACACAAAAUUUGACACACACGUGUAUCUCAAUAAGAUCUACGAAAAAGUCAAAGAGCGCGUAUCUGUAUAAUGUACGGUUAAAGGGCUAUUUCGCAUUUUUUGCCGAUCCGCACACAUUGGAAUUUCGCUAACUCCUCCGAAGGCUUUCGUUCCACCGGCACCAAAUUUGCUCAGGCCAAUCUACACCCCAUGGCCAUUAAAAGUUGUACAAAUCAUGACGCUGCACCCCACGGUUUAGGUUCUAGGGGGCGCCAAAGAUAACCCAAAAAUCCACAUUCUUAAAAGUCUUAUAACUUUUUAUUUUUGUCCUCACUGGCCUCCAAGUUUUCUAGGAUGAUGCAAUGUCCAGCCAUCAACACAUUUGUGAAGGAAUUUUUACUCCCCAAAAGAGCGCCCCCCCAUGGCAGGAGAAAAAAGUAAAUUUUUUCUUGUCCCAUAAGGUGAAAAUACACAUUGUUGAGUGUCACGCCUGUACGCUUUGUCAUAUUGACACAAAAUUUGACACACACAUGUAUCUCAAUAAGAUCUACGAAAAAGUCAAUGCGCGCGUAUCUGCAAAAUGUACGGUUAAAGGGCUAUUUCGCAUUUUUGGUUGAUUCGCACACAUUGGAAUGUGGCUAACUCCUCCUAAAGCUUUCGUUCCACCGGCACCAAAUUUGCUCAGGCCAAUCUACACCCCAUGGCCAUUAAAAGUUGUACAAAUCAUGAUGCUGCACCCCACGGUUUACGUUCUAGGGGUCGCCAAAGAUAACCCAAAAAUCCACAUUCUUAAAAGUCUUAUAACUUUUCAUUUUUGUCCUCACUGGCUUCAAAGUUUUCUAGGAUGAUGCAAUGUCUAGCCAUCAACACAUUUGUGAAGGAAUUUUUUCUCCCUAAAAGAGUGCCCCCCCAUGGCAGGAGAAAAAGUCAAGUUUUUCCUGCCCAUCGCUCAAUGGCUCAAACACAUCGCUCUCUCGGAAAAAAACGAAAGGAGGAGGAACUUGCCAUUUGGAUAUAUCCUAGCUGUGUUUGUGCCCUCACUCAUGGUCCAGACUUUUUUCAAAUAGGACAUGUAGUUUGUCUGCAGCAAGCGUUUUGGUAGAAACUGCGCCUCCCAUUCAUUAUAAUGGUAAAUGACCACAGACAAGUGCGCACACCAUCGUUGAACCUUGAGUGUGACGCGAUCGGGAGGGAGAGGCGGUCGUGUUGGGGGCGGCGUGACACAGCUCGGGCCCGCCAGUGCCCCAACGGGGCCCUAGUUAGGGCCCGAGCGUAGCUGCUAAGCAGCUGCGAGAGCCCUCUUGUUCCUGUAGUUUCCUUCUUUUGUUAUUAGGGCCCGAGCGUAGCUGCUAAGCAGCUGCGAGAGCCCUCUUGUUCCUGCAUGUUUCCUUCUUUUGUUAUUAUUAUUAUUUUUCCUCCCCUUUAAACUGGAAAAUGGCCCACUUCCCACUGGCGAAAACUCAUGAAAUUUGGCAGGACGACCGGGCCUGGUGAAAAAUUUGAUAUUCCGAAGUCGCCCAAACAAGAAAAUGCAAAAUGGCUCCAUAGCGCCCCCUAAGGUGAAAAUUCACACUAUUGACUGUCACGCCUGUACGCUUUGUCAAAAUGACACAAAAAUUGACACACAUAUGUAUCUCAAUAAGAUCUACAAAAAAGUCAGUGCGGGCGUAUCUGUCAAAUGUACGGUUAAAGGGUUAUUUCGCAUUUUUUGGCGAUCCGUACACAUUGGAAUUUCGCUAACUCCUCCGAAGGCUUUCGUUCCACCGGCACCACAUUUGCUCAGGCCAAUCUACACCCCAUGGCCAUUAAAAGUUAUUCAAAUCAUGACGCUGCACCCCACGGUUUAGGUUCUAGGGGGCGCCAAAGAUAACCCUAAAAUCCACAUAUUUAAAAGUCUUAUAACUUUUUAUUUUUGUCCUCACUGGCCUCCAAGUUUUCUAGGAUGAUGCAAUGUCCAGCCAUCAACACAUUUGUGAAGGAAUUUUUACUCCCCAAAAGAGUGCCCCCCCAUGGCAGGAGAAAAAAGUCCAUUUUUUCUUGUCCCCUAAGGUGAAAAUACACAUUGUUGAGUGUAACACCUGUACGCUUUGGCAAAAUGACACAAAAAUUGACACACACAUGUAACUCAAUAAGAUCUACAAAAAAGUCCGUGCGCGCGUAUCUGUCAAAUGUACAGUUAAAGGGUUAUUCCGCAUUUUUUGCCGAUACGCACACAUUGGAAUUUCGCUAACUCCUCCGAAGGCUUUCGUUCCACCGGCACCACAUUUGCUCAGGCCAAUCUACACCCCAUGCCCAUUAAAAGUUAUUCAAAUCAUGAUGCUGCACCCCAUGGUUUAGGUUCUAGGGGGCGCCAAAAAUAACCCAAAAAUCCACAUUCUUAAAUGUUUUAUAACUUUUUAUUUUUGUCCUCACUGGCCUCCAAGUUUUCUAGGAUGAUGCAAUGUCCAGCCAUCAACACAUUUGUGAAGGAAUUUUUACUCCCCAAAAGAGCGCCCCCCCAUGGUAGGAGAAAAAAGUCAAUUUUUUCUUGUCCCCUUACAUGAAAAUACACAUUGUUGAGUGUCACGCCUGAACGCUUUGUCAUAUUGACACAAAAAUUGACAAUCAUGUGUAUCUCAAUUAGAUCUACAAUAAAGUCAAAGAGCGCGUAUCUGUAUAAUGUACGGUUAAAGGGCUAUUUUGCAUUUUUUGCCGAUUCGCACACAUUGGAAUGUGGCUAUCUCCUCCUAAGGCUUUCGUCCCACCGAUACCAAAUUUGCUCAGGCCAAUCUACACCCCAUGCCCAUUCAAAGUUGUAAAAAUCAUGACGCUGCACCCCACGGUUUACGUUCUAGGGGGCGCCAAAGAUGACCCAAAAAUCCACAUUCUUAAAAGUCAUUUUGGCCACUGCAGGAGUACAGAGUACUGCAGUUCUAGGGGGCGCCAAAGAUGACCCAAAAAUCCACAUUCUUAAAAGUCUUUUUGGCCACUGCAGGAGUACAGAGUACUGCAGGAUACACACACAUAUACACACACGCCAACAUACACACACACACACACACACACACACACAGACACACACACACACUCAGAGUCUGUUUUUUAGCACCUGCAAAAACAUGCUGUUUACAUAUUUGACAAGAAUGCAGAGGCUUCCUUUUGCCCCUGAAAAAAAUCAAAUUUCAAACACAACUUGACUGUUCAUUUCUCCAAAAGACAGCCAUGAAGCUCCAUUUCAAACCUGAAGCAGAUAGUUGGUGCAUGUGUACAGUAACCUGAGGGGAGUGAGGUGACUAUUUCUGAGGAGAACAUGAGCAGUGAAGAUUCACCUUGGAGCUAGAACAGGGACGUGCACAUGAUUAUACAGGGGCAGGGGCUCAAGUUUUUUCCAGUCAUUUAUACAAUAUGGAAAUUAAUGUGAAAUUAAACCACAAAUAUGUGUGAUGAACUGUUUUUAAAACUUAAACUUCAAAUAAAAAUUGUAAACUUCAAAACAUAUGCAAAUUUUUAACAAAGAACAUAGUUAUUUACCUCUAUUUACAUCAAAAUGCAGGCAAUGGCCCAGGCGUUCUUUGUAAAAUUAUUUACAAAACACUGUAUAGUCUCACAAAUGUCACUUUUUAUUUAUGCCACUACAAAAAAACAUGAUGUAAAUGAUGCAUGAUGUAAAACAUGAUGUAAAAAACUUGUGUAGAUCCUCCUCUAUGUCAGUCCAUGUGUAAUUUUUCCAUAAUUCUUUGUUUUUUGCAGCAUUUUUGUUAGUGUAACUGCAGAUUGUGCUGACAGUGUCUAUGGCACAAAAAAAAAAAAAAUUAAAAUGCCUCAACAUGAACCCCUGGUGGUCUCUGAGGGUGAAACCUGCUAACUGCUGCAGCUCUGUCAGCUUCAGUCUCCCAUGCAGAGCUCUGAGCGCAUGUGUGGCUCUGCACCCUUAGCAGCGUUGCUAACUCCUCAGUAAGGAAAGCCUGCUUCAUGUCAGAGUCUCUAAACUCCAGAAGAAGUCGAUAAAAGUCCCUUUCUUUCUAAAAAAAAGUCGUUAGGGGGUCUGAAAAGUCAUUGAAUCUAACAACAAAGUCGCUAGGUUUGCAACUACGUGUCCCAGACUGCAUCCCUGCUGAGAGUCCCUCCCUCGCUUCUCAUGUUGCAGGAAGAACGUAAGCGCCCGCCCCUUGUCAAUCAGUCACCAUAUAAUUUUGGAUUGGUUGUUGUGGUGAAGUUUUCCACCAAUAGGAGAGAUGUUGUGGUGUGUUUUUUUUUUCUUUUGGCAAGCCUUUUCCGCCUGUAAGACCUGUCGCUAAUGUCUGCAUGCUAUGUUUUCCUGUCUCAUACAGCGCGAUCGAGCGCCGAACGUGAUCAAAAUAAGCAGAAAAAAAGUAUCGCGGACAUAAUUUAUCAUAACUCUGGUUUUAUUUGGCCUAUCAACACAAUUUAAAAACUGGUAUAUAGGUUGAGGUCCUCACUUUUGAGAUAAGUUGAAACGGAGAGUCAACGAGGCUCCGUCUUGCAGCUACAUCCGGUUAAAUAUGUCAUGUGACUUGAACGCACACGCAGACACACACGCACACACACACACACACACACACACACUCAGAGUCUGGUUUUUAGCACCUGCAAAAACAUGCUAUUUACAUAUUUGACAAGAAUGCAGAGGCUCCUUUUGCCCCUGAAAAAAAUCAAAUUUCAAACACAACUUGACUGGUCAUUUCUCCAAAAGACAACCAUGAAGCUCCAUCCAAACCUGAAGCAGGCAGUUGGUGCAUGUGUACAGUAACCUGAGGGGAGUGAGGUGAGUGCUUCUGAGGAGAACAUGAGCAGUGAAGAUUCACCUUGGAGCUAGAACAGAGACAUGCACAUGAUUAUACAGGGGCAGGGGCUCAAGUUUUUUCCAGUCGUUUAUACAAUAUGGAAAUUAAUGUGAAAUUAAAACACAAAGUAUUAAUAGAAAGGUAAUGACUGUCCUGUGUAGGUGACAGUGAUAUCCAAUAGGCUAGGCACUCACGAGGCUGGCUGUGGCAAGUGUAAGUGAAAGCAACACGCACUGGCAGGAAGAACAGCAAACGCCGAUGAAGGAAAAGGGUCUUUGCAGUGAUGGGCGUUACCAGAGAGGGCGAUGGCCAGAGGACACAAAUGGGACGGGGAGGCGGUCGCGUUGGGGGGGGGGAAGCUCGGGCCCGCCAGUGCCCCAACGGGGUCCUAGUUAUUAUUUUUCCUCCCCUUUGAACUGGAAAAUGGCCCACUUCCCACUGGCGAAAACUCAGGAAAUUUGGCAGGACGACCGGGCCGGGUGAAAAAUUUGAUAUUCCGAAGUCGCCCAAACAAGAAAAUGCAAAAUGGCUCCAUAGCGCCCCCUAAGGUGAAAAUUCACACUAUUGACUGUCACGCCUGUACGCUUUGUCAAAAUGACACAAAAAUUGACACACACAUGUAUCUCAAUAAGAUCUACAAAAAAGUCAGUGCGGGCGUAUCUGUCAAAUGUACGGUUAAAGGGUUAUUUCGCAUUUUUUGCCGAUCCGCACACAUUGGAAUUUCGCUAACUCCUCCGAAGGCUUUCGUUCCACCGGCACCACAUUUGCUCAGGCCAAUCUACACCCCAUGGCCAUUAAAAGUUAUUCAAAUCAUGACGCUGCACCCCACGGUUUAGGUUCUAGGGGGCGCCAAAGAUAACCCUAAGAUCCACAUAUUUAAAAGUCUUAUAACUUUUUAUUUUUGCCCUCACUGGCCUCCAAGUUUUCUAGGAUGAUGCAAUGUCCAGCCAUCAAAACAUUUGUGAAGGAAUUUUUACUCCCCAAAAGAGCGCCCCCCCAUGGCAGGAGAAAAAAGUCCAUUUUUUCUUGUCCCCUAAGGUGAAAAUACACAUUGUUGAGUGUAACACCUGUACGCUUUGGCAAAAUGACACAAAAAUUGACACACACAUGUAUCUCAAUAAGAUCUACGAAAAAGUCAAUGCGCGCGUAUCUGUCAAAUGUACGGUUAAAGGGUUAUUCCGCAUUUUUUGCCGAUCCGCACACAUUGGAAUUUCGCUAACUCCUCCGAAGGCUUUCGUUCCACCGGCACCACAUUUGCUCAGGCCAAUCUACACCCCAUGGCCAUUAAAAGUUAUUCAAAUCAUGACGCUGCACCCCACGGUUUAGGUUCUAGGGGGCGCCAAAGAUAACCCUAAAAUCCACAUAUUUAAAAGUCUUAUAACUUUUUAUUUUUGUCCUCACUGGCCUCCAAGUUUUCUAGGAUGAUGCAAUGUCCAGCCAUCAACACAUUUGUGAAGGAAUUUUUACUCCCCAAAAGAGCGCCCCCCCAUGGCAGGAGAAAAAAGUCCAUUUUUUCUUGUCCCCUAAGGUGGAAAUUCACACUAUUGACUGUCACGCCUGUACGCUUUAUCAUAUUGACACAAAAAUUGACACACAUAUGUAUCUCAAUAAGAUCUACAAAAAAGUCAAUGCGCGCGUAUCUGUCAAAUGUACGGUUAAAGGGCUAUUUUGCAUUUUUUGCCGAUUCGCACACAUUGGAAUGUGGCUAACUCCUCCUAAGGCUUUCGUCCCACUGACACCAAAUUUGCUCAGGCCAAUCUACACCCCAUGGCCAUUCAAAGUUGUAAAAAUCAUGACGCUGCACCCCACGGUUUACGUUCUAGGGGGCGCCAAAGAUGACCCAAAAAUCCACAUUCUUAAAGGAAUCCACAUCCCCCCCCAAGGCAGGAGAAAAAGUCAAGUUAACCCUGCCCAUCGCUCAAUGGCUCAAUCGCAUCGCUCUCCAGGCAACACCGUAAGGAGGAGCAACCUGCCAUUUCGAUAUAUCAUAGCUGUGUUUGUGCCCUCACUCAUGGUCCAGACUUUUUUCAAAUAGGACAUGAAGUUUGUCUGCAGCGAGUGUUUUGGUAGAAACUGCGCCUCCCAUUCAUUAUAAUGGGAAAUGACCACAGACAAGUGCGCACACCAUCUUUGGACCUUGAGUGUGACGCGAUCGGGAGGGGGAGGCGGUCGCGCUAGGGGCGGCGCGACGCGGCUCGGGCCCGACAGUGCCCCACCGGGGCCCUAGUUUGUUAUUAUUAUUAGGGCCCGAGCGUAGCUGCUAAGCAGCUGCGAGAGCCCUCUUGUUCCUGUAGUUUCCUUCUUUUGUUAUUAUUAUUUUUCCUCCCCUUUGAACUGGAAAAUGGCCCACUUCCCACUGGCGAAAACUCAUGAAAUUUGGCAGGACGACCGGGCCUGGUGAAAAAUUUGAUAUUCCGAAGUCGCCCAAACAAGAAAAUGCAAAAUGGCUCCAUAGCGCCCCCUAAGGUGAAAAUUCACACUAUUGACUGUCACGCCUGUACGCUUUGUCAAAAUGACACAAAAAUUGACACACACAUGUAUCUCAAUAAGAUCUACAAAAAAGUCAGUGCGGGCGUAUCUGUCAAAUGUACGGUUAAAGGGUUAUUUCGCAUUUUUUGCCGAUCCGCACACAUUGGAAUUUCGCUAACUCCUCCGAAGGCUUUCGUUCCACCGGCACCACAUUUGCUCAGGCCAAUCUACACCCCAUGGCCAUUAAAAGUUAUUCAAAUCAUGACGCUGCACCCCACGGUUUAGGUUCUAGGGGGCGCCAAAGAUAACCCUAAAAUCCACAUAUUUAAAAGUCUUAUAACUUUUUAUUUUUGUCCUCACUGGCCUCCAAGUUUUCUAGGAUGAUGCAAUGUCCAGCCAUCAACACAUUUGUGAAGGAAUUUUUACUCCCCAAAAGAGCGCCCCCCCAUGGCAGGAGAAAAAAGUCAAUUUUUUCUUGUCCCCUAAGGUGGAAAUUCACACUAUUGACUGUCACGCCUGUACGCUUUAUCAUAUUGACACAAAAUUUGACAAUCACAUGUAUCUCAAUAAGAUCUACAAAAAAGUCAAUGCGCGCGUAUCUGUCAAAUGUACGGUUAAAGGGCUAUUUUGCAUUUUUUGCCGAUUCGCACACAUUGGAAUGUGGCUAACUCCUCCUAAGGCUUUCGUCCCACUGACACUAAAUUUGCUCAGGCCAAUCUACACCCCAUGGUCAUUCAAAGUUGUAAAAAUCAUGACGCUGCACCCCACGGUUUACGUUCUAGGGGGCGCCAAAGAUGACCCAAAUAUCCACAUUCUUAAAAGAAUCCACAUCCCCCCCCCCAUCCCCCAACCCCCAUGGCAGGAGAAACAGUCAAGUUUUUCCUGCCCAUCACUCAAUGGCUCAAUCGCAUCACUCUCCCGGCAACACCGUAACAAGGAGCAACUUGCCGUUUGGAUAUAUCCUAGCUGUGUUUGUGCCCUCACUCAUGGUCCAGACUUUUUUCAAAUAGGACAUGUAGUUUGUCUGCAGCGAGUGUUUUGGUAGAAACUGCGCCUCCCAUUCAUUAUAAUGGGAAAUGACCACAGACAAGUGCGCACACCAUCUUUGGACCUUGAGUGUGACGCGAUCGGGAGGGGGAGGCGGUCGCGCUGGGGGCGGCGCAACGCGGCUCGGGCCCGACAGUGCCCCACCGGGGCCCUAGUUAUUAUUUUUCCUCCCCUUUGAACUGGAAAAUGGCCCACUUCCCACUGGCGAAAACUCAUGAAAUUUGGCAGGACGACCGGGCCUGGUGAAAAAUUUGAUAUUCCAUAGUCGCCCAAACAAGAAAAUGCAAAAUGGCUCCAUAGCGCCCCCUAAGGUGAAAAUUCACACUAUUGACUGUCACGCCGGUACGCUUUGUCAAAAUGACACAAAAAUUGACACACACAUGUAUCUCAAUAAGAUCUACAAAAAAGUCAGUGCGGGCGUAUCUGUCAAAUGUACGGUUAAAGGGUUAUUUCGCAUUUUUUGCCGAUCCGCACACAUUGGAAUUUCGCUAACUCCUCCGAAGGCUUUCGUUCCACCGGCACCACAUUUGCUCAGGCCAAUCUACACCCUAUGGCCAUUAAAAGUUAUUCAAAUCAUGACGCUGCACCCCACGGUUUAGGUUCUAGGGGGCGCCAAAGAUAACCCUAAGAUCCACAUAUUUAAAAGUCUUAUAACUUUUUAUUUUUGCCCUCACUGGCCUCCAAGUUUUCUAGGAUGAUGCAAUGUCCAGCCAUCAACACAUUUGUGAAGGAAUUUUGACUCCCCAAAAGAGCGCCCCCCCAUGGCAGGAGAAAAAAGUCCAUUUUUUCUUGUCCCCUAAGGUGAAAAUACACAUUGUUGAGUGUAACACCUGUACGCUUUGGCAAAAUGACACAAAAAUUGACACACACAUGUAUCUCAAUAAGAUCUACAAAAAAGUCAGUGCGGGCGUAUCUGUAAAAUGUACGGUUAAAGGGUUAUUUCGCAUUUUUUGCCGAUCCGCACACAUUGGAAUUUCGCUAACUCCUCCGAAGGCUUUCGUUCCACCGGCACCACAUUUGCUCAGGCCAAUCUACACCCCAUGGCCAUUAAAAGUUAUUCAAAUCAUGACGCUGCACCCCACGGUUUAGGUUCUAGGGGGCGCCAAAGAUAACCGUAAAAUCCACAUAUUUAAAAGUCUUAUAACUUUUUAUUUUUGUCCCCACUGGCCUCCAAGUUUUCUAGGAUGAUGCAAUGUCCAGCCAUCAACACAUUUGUGAAGGAAUUUUUACUCGGCAAAAGAGCGCCCCCCCAUGGCAGGAGAAAAAAGUCAAUUUUUUCUUGUCCACUAAGGUGAAAAUACACAUUGUUGAGUGCUACGCCUGUAUGUUUUGUCGUAUUGACACAAAAUUUUACAUACACGUGUAUUUCAAUAAGAUCUUCGAAAAAGUCAAUGGCCACGUAUCUGUAAAAUGUACGGUUAAAGGGUUAUUUCGCAUUUUUUGCAGAUUCGCACACAUUGGAAUUUCGCUAAUUCCUCCGAAGGCUUUCGUUCCACCGGCACCACAUUUGCUCAGGCCGAUCUACACCCCAUGGCCAUUAAAAGUUAUUCAAAUCAUGACGCUGCACCCCACGGUUUAGGUUCUAGGGGGCGCCAAAUAUAACCCUAAAAUCCACAUAUUUAAAAGUCUUAUAACUUUUUAUUUUUGUCCUCACUGGCCUCCAUGUUUUCUAGGAUGAUGCAAUGUCCAGCCAUCAACACAUUUGUGAAGGAGUUUUUUCUCUUUAAAAGAGCGCCCCCCCAUGGCAGGAGAAUAAAGUCAAGUUUUUCCUGUUCAUCAUUCAAUGGCUCAAACGCACUGCUCUCUCGGCAAAAGCGAAAGGAGGAGCAACUUGCCAUUUGGAUAUAUCUUAGCUGUGUUUGUGCCCUCACUCAUGGUCCAGACUUUUUUCAAAUAGGACAUGGAGUUUUUCUGCAGCGAGCGUUUUGGUAGAAACUGCGCCUCCCGUUCAUUAUAAUGGUAAAUGACCACAAACAAGUGCGCACACCAUCUUUGGACCUUGAGUGUGACGCGAUCGGGUGGGGGAGGCGUGACACGGCUCGGGCCCGCCAGUGCCCCAACGGGGCCCUAGUUAGGGCCCGAGCGUAGCUGCUAAGCAGCUGCGAGAGCCCUAUUAUUCCCCAAGGGGUUUUUCUUUGUUUCUUUCUUUCUUUCUUUCUUCUUUUUCCUCCCCUUUGAACUGGAAAAUGGCCCACUUCCCACUGGCGAAAACUCAUGAAAUUUGGCAGGACGACCGGGCCUGGUGAAAAAUUUGAUAUUCCGAAGUCGCCCAAACAAGAAAAUGCAAAAUGGCUCCAUAGCGCCCCCUAAGGUGAAAAUUCACACUAUUGACUGUCACGCCUGUACGCUUUGUCAAAAUGACACAAAAAUUGACACACACAUGUAUCUCAAUAAGAUCUACAAAAAAGUCAGUGCGGGCGUAUCUGUCAAAUGUACGGUUAAAGGGUUAUUUCGCAUUUUUUGCCGAUCCGCACACAUUGGAAUUUCGCUAACUCCUCCGAAGGCUUUCGUUCCACCGGCACCACAUUUGCUCAGGCCAAUCUACACCCCAUGGCCAUUAAAAGUUAUUCAAAUCAUGACGCUGCACCCCACGGUUUAGGUUCUAGGGGGCGCCAAAGAUAACCCUAAAAUCCACAUUUUUAAAAGUCUUAUAACUUUUUAUUUUUGCCCUCACUGGCCUCCAAGUUUUCUAGGAUGAUGCAAUGUCCAGCCAUCAACACAUUUGUGAAGGAAUUUUUACUCCCCAAAAGAGUUCCCCCCCAUGGCAGGAGAAAAAAGUCCAUUUUUUCUUGUCCCCUUAAGUGAAAAUACACAUUGUUGAGUGUCACGCCUGUACGCUUUGUCAAAAUGACACAAAAAUUGACACACACAUGUAUCUCAAUAAGAUCUACAAAAAAGUCAAUGCGCGCGUAUCUGUAAAAUGUACAGUUAAAGGGUUAUUCCGCAUUUUUUGCCGAUUCGCACACAUUGGAAUUUCGCUAACUCCUCCGAAGGCUUUCGUUCCACCGGCACCACAUUUGCUCAGGCCAAAUUACACCCCAUGGCCAUUAAAAGUUAUUCAAAUCAUGACGCUGCACCCUACGGUUUACGUUCUAGGGGGCGCCAAAGAUAACCCAAAAAUCCACAUUUUUAAAAGUCUUAUAACUUUUUAUUUUUGCCCUCACUGGCCUCCAAGUUUUCUAGGAUGAUGCAAUGUCCAGCCAUCAACACAUUUGUGAAGGAAUUUUUACUUCCUAAAAGAGCGCCCCCCCCAUGGCAGGAGAAAAAAGUCCAUUUUUUCUUGUCCCCUAAGGUGAAAAUACACAUUGUUGACUGUCACGCCUGUACGCUUUGGCAAAAUGACACAAAAAUUGACAAUCAUGUGUAUCUCAAUUAGAUCUACGAAAAAGUCAAAGAGCGCGUAUCUGUAUAAUGUACGGCAAAAGGGCUAUUUUGCAUUUUUUGCCGAUUCGCACACAUUGGAAUUUCGCUAACUCCUCCUAAGGCUUUCGUCCCACUGACACCAAAUUUGCUCAGGCCAAUCUACACUCCAUGGCCAUUCAAAGUUGUAAAAAUCAUGACGCUGCACCCCACGGUUUACGUUUUAGGGGGCGCCAAAGAUGACCCAAAUAUACAUUACAGUAGACAAAGUAGUUUUGCCCACUGAGUGGCGCCAAAGGGACUUGUCUAUGGAGUCUGUGAGUCACUAUUGGCCGUUUUUGACUACUUUAGAUUUUACCUUUAUAUUUCCUCUUACAAAAUUUUUACCUUGCCUUGCCUGGUAUCAUUUUUUUCAGCACAACCUCACCUGUGUCAAUUUACAGUUAUUUUAUCAUUUUGACAUACUAUAUUUACACAUUGGACCCAAAUUCACACACAAAACAUAAAAUCCGAGUGGAAAAAAGUAACGUUUUUACUGUGAAAACCACAAAUAUGUGUGAUGAACUGUUUUUAAAACUUAAACUUCAAAUAAAAAUUGUAAACUUCAGAACAUAUGCAAAUUUUUAACAAAGAACAUAGUAAUUUACCUCUAUUUACAUCAAAAUGCAGGCAAUGGCUCAGGUGUUCUUUGUAAAAUUAUUUACAAAACACUGUAUAGUCUCACAAAUGUCACUUUUUAUUUAUGCCACUACAAAAAAAACAUGAUGUAAAUGAUGCAUGAUGUAAAACAUGAUGUAAAAAACUUGUGUAGAUCCUCCUCUAUGUUAGUCCAUGUGUAAUUUUUCCAUAAUUCUUUGUUUUUUGCAGCAUUUUUGUUAGUGUAACUGCAGAUUGUGCUGACAGUGUCUAUGGCAAAAAAAAAAAAAAAACUGAAAAUGCCUCAACAUGAACCCCUGGUGGUCUCUGAGGGUGAAACCUGCUAACUGCUGCAGCUCUGUCAGCUUCAGUCUGCCAUGCAGAGCUCGGAGCGCAUGUGUGGCUCUGCACCCUUAGCAGCGUUGCUAACUCCUCAGUAAGGAAAGCCUGCUUCAUGUCAGAGUCUCAAAACUCCAGAAGAAGUCGAUAAAAGUCCCUUUCUUUCUAAAAAAAAAGUCGUUAGGGGGUCUGAAAAGUCAUUGAAUCUAACAACAAAGUCGCUAGGUUUGCAACUACGUGUCCCAGACUGCAUCCCUGCUGAGAGUCCCUCCCUCCCUUCUCAUAUUGCAGGAAGAACGUAAGCGCCCGCCCCUUUUCAAUCAGUCACCAUAUAAUUUUGGAUUGGUUGUUGUGGUGAAGUUUUCCACCAAUAGGAGAGAUGUUGUGGUGUGUUUUUUUUUUCCUUUGGCAAGCCUUUUCCGCCUGUAAGACCUGUCGCUAAUGUCUGCAUGCUAUGUUUUCCUGUCUCAUACAGCGCGAUCGAGCGCCGAACGUGAUCAAAAUAAGCAGAAAACAAGUAUCGCGGACAUAAUUUAUCAUAACUCUGGUUUUAUUUGGCCUAUCAACACAAUUUAAAAACUGGUAUAUAGGUUGAGGUCCUCACUUUUGAGAUAAGUUAAAACGGAGAGUCAACGAGGCUCCGUCUUGCAGCUACAUCCGGUUAAAUAUGUCAUGUGACUUGAACGCACACACAGACACACACACACACGCACACACACACACACACACACUCAGAGUCUGGUUUUUAGCACCUGCAAAAACAUGCUAUUUACAUAUUUGACAAGAAUGCAGAGGCUCCUUUUGCCCCUGAAAAAAAUCAAAUUUCAAACACAACUUGACUGCUCAUUUCUCCAAAAGACAACCAUGAAGCUCCAUCCAAACCUGAAGCAGGCAGUUGGUGCAUGUGCACAGUAACCUGAGGGGAGUGAGGUGACUGCUUCUGAGGAGAACAUGAGCAGUGAAGAUUCACCUUAGAGCUAGAACAGAGACGUGCACAUGAUUAUACAGGGGCAGGGGCUCAAGUUUUUUCCAGUUGUUUAUACAAUAUGGAAAUUAAUGUGAAAUUAAAAAACAAAGUAUUAAUAGAAAGGUAAUGACUGUCCUGUGUAGGUGACAGUGAUAUCCAAUAGGCUAGGCACUCACGAGGCUGGCUGUGGCAAGUGUAAGUGAAAGCAACACGCACUGGCAGGAAGAACAGCAAACGCCGAUGAAGGAAAAGGGUCUUUGCAGUGAUGGGCGUUACCAGAGAGGGCGAUGGCCAGAGGACACAAAUGGGACGGGGAGGCAGCACGUUGGGGGGGGGGGACGCGACACGGCUCGGGCCCACCAGUGCCCCAACGGGGUCCUAGUUAGGGCCCGAGCGUAGCUGCUAAGCAGCUGCGAGAGCCCUCUUGUUCCUGAUGGAUUCUUCUUUUUAGGGCCCGAGCCAGCUGCAGAGCAGCCGGGCGUAGGCCCUGUUAUUCCUGUAGGGGUUUUUUAGGGCCCGAGCGUAGCUGCUAAGCAGCUGCGAGAGCCCUCUUGUUCCUGUAGUUUCCUUCUUUUGUUAUUAUUAUUUUUCCUCCCCUUUGAACUGGAAAAUGGCCCACUUCCCACUGGCGAAAACUCAUGAAAUUUGGCAGGACGACCGGGCCUGGUGAAAAAUUUGAUAUUCCGAAGUCGCCCAAACAAGAAAAUGCAAAAUGGCUCCAUAGCGCCCCCUAAGGUGAAAAUUCACACUAUUGACUGUCACGCCUGUACGCUUUGUCAAAAUGACACAAAAAUUGACACACACAUGUAUCUCAAUAAGAUCUACAAAAAAGUCAGUGCGGGCGUAUCUGUCAAAUGUACGGUUAAAGGGUUAUUUCGCAUUUUUUGCCGAUCCGCACACAUUGGAAUUUCGCUAACUCCUCCGAAGGCUUUCGUUCCACCGGCACCACAUUUACUCAGGCCAAUCUACACCCCAUGGCCAUUAAAAGUUAUUCAAAUCAUGACGCUGCACCCCAAGGUUUAGGUUCUAGGGGGCGCCAAAGAUAACCCUAAGAUCCACAUAUUUAAAAGUCUUAUAACUUUUUAUUUUUGCCCUCACUGGCCUCCAAGUUUUCUAGGAUGAUGCAAUGUCCAGCCAUCAACACAUUUGUGAAGGAAUUUUUACUCCCCAAAAGAGCGCCCCCCCAUGGCAGGAGAAAAAACUCAAUUUUUUCUUGUCCCCUAAGGUGAAAAUACACAUUGUUGAGUGUAACACCUGUACGCUUUGGCAAAAUGACACAAAAAUUGACACACACAUGUAUCUCAAUAAGAUCUACGAAAAAGUCAAUGCGCGCGUAUCUGUCAAAUGUACGGUUAAAGGGUUAUUCCGCAUUUUUUGCCGAUCCGCACACAUUGGAAUUUCGCUAACUCCUCCGAAGGCUUUCGUUCCACCGGCACCACAUUUGCUCAGGCCAAUCUACACCCCAUGGCCAUUAAAAGUUAUUCAAAUCAUGACGCUGCAUCCCACGGUUUAGGUUCUAGGGGGCGCCAAAGAUAACCCUAAAAUCCACAUAUUUAAAAGUCUUAUAACUUUUUAUUUUUGUCCUCACUGGCCUCCAAGUUUUCUAGGAUGAUGCAAUGUCCAGCCAUCAACACAUUUGUGAAGGAAUUUUUACUCCCCAAAAGAGCGCCCCCCCAUGGCAGGAGAAAAAAGUCAAUUUUUUCUUGUCCCCUAAGGUGGAAAUUCACACUAUUGACUGUCACGCCUCUACGCUUUAUCAUAUUGACACAAAAAUUGACACACAUAUGUAUCUCAAUAAGAUCUACAAAAAAGUCAAUUCGCGCGUAUCUGUCAAAUGUACGGUUAAAGGGCUAUUUUGCAUUUUUUGCCGAUUCGCACACAUUGGAAUGUGGCUAACUCCUCCUAAGGCUUUCGACCCACUGACACCAAAUUUGCUCAGGCCAAUCUACACCCCAUGGCCAUUCAAAGUUGUAAAAAUCAUGACGCUGCACCCCACGGUUUACGUUCUAGGGGGCGCCAAAGAUGACCCAAAAAUCCACAUUCUUAAAAGAAUCCACAUCCCCCCCCCUAUGGCAGGAGAAAAAGUCAAGUUUUUCCUGCCCAUCGCUCAAUGGCUCAAUCGCAUCGCUCUCCAGGCAACACCGUAAGGAGGAGCAACCUGGCAUUUCGAUAUAUCAUAGCUGUGUUUGUGCCCUCACUCAUGGUCCAGACUUUUUUCAAAUAGGACAUGAAGUUUGUCUGCAGCGAGUGUUUUGGUAGAAACUGCGCCUCCCAUUCAUUAUAAUGGGAAAUGACCACAGACAAGUGCGCACACCAUCUUUGGUUCUUGAUUGUGACUCGAUCGGGACGGGGAGGCGGUCGCAAUGGGGGCGGCGCGACGCGGCUCGGGCCCGACAGUGCCCCACCGGGGCCCUAGUCUUUGUUUCUUUCUUUCUUCUUUUUCCUCCCCUUUGAACUGGAAAAUGGCCCACUUCCCACUGGCGAAAACUCAUGAAAUUUGGCAGGACGACCGGGCCUGGUGAAAAAUUCGAUAUUCUGAAGUCGCCCAAACAAUAAAAUGCAAAAUGGCUCCAUAGCGCCCCCUAAGGUGGAAAUUCACACUAUUGACUGUCACGUCUGUACGCUUUGUCAUAUUGACACAAAAAUUGACACACAUAUGUAUCUCAAUAAGAUCUACAAAAAAGUCAGUGCGGCCGUAUCUGUCAAAAUUACGGUUAAAGGGUUAUUUCGCAUUUUUUGCCGAUCCGCACACAUUGGAAUUUCGCUAACUCCUCCGAAGGCUUUCGUUCCACCGGCACCACAUUUGCUCAGGCCAAUCUACACCCCGUGGCCAUUAAAAGUUAUCAAAAUCAUGACGCUGCACCCCAAGGUUUAGGUUCUAGGGGGCGCCAAAGAUAACACUAAAAUCCACAUAUUUAAAAGUCUUAUAACUUUUUAUUUUUGUCCUCACUGGCCUCCAAGUUUUCUAGGAUGAUGCAAUGUCCAGCCAUCAACACAUUUGUGAAGGAAUUUUUACUCCCCAAAAGAGCGCCCCCCCAUGGCAGGAGAAAAAAGUCCAUUUUUUCUUGUCCCCUAAGGUGAAAAUACACAUUGUUGAGUGUCAAGCCUAUACGCUUUGUCAAAAUGACACAAAAUUUGACACACACAUGUAACUCAAUAAGAUCUACAAAAAAGUCCAUGCGCGCGUAUCUGUCAAAUGUACAGUUAAAGGGUUAAUCCGCAUUUUUUGCCGAUACGCACACAUUGGAAUUUCGCUAACUCCUCCGAAGGCUUUCGUUCCACCGGCACCACAUUUGCUCAGGCCAAUCUACACCCCAUGGCCAUUAAAAGUUAUUCAAAUCAUGAUGCUGCACCCCAUGGUUUAGGUUCUAGGGGGCGCCAAAAAUAACCCAAAAAUCCACAUUCUUAAAUGUUUUAUAACUUUUUAUUUUUGUCCUCACUGGCCUCCAAGUUUUCUAGGAUGAUGCAAUGUCCAGCCAUCAACACAUUUGUGAAGGAAUUUUUACUCCCCAAAAGAGCGCCCCCCCAUGGUAGGAGAAAAAAGUCAAUUUUUUCUUGUCCCCUUACAUAAAAAUACACAUUGUUGAGUGUCACGCCUGAACGCUUUGUCAUAUUGACACAAAAAUUGACAAUCAUGUGUAUCUCAAUUAGAUCUACGAAAAAGUCAAAGAGCGCGUAUCUGUAUAAUGUACGGUUAAAGGGCUAUUUUGCAUUUUUUGCCGAUUCGCACACAUUGGAAUGUGGCUAUCUCCUCCUAAGGCUUUCGUCCCACCGAUACCAAAUUUGCUCAGGGCAAUCUACACCCCAUGCCCAUUCAAAGUUGUAAAAAUCAUGACGCUGCACCCCACGGUUUACGUUCUAGGGGGCGCCAAAGAUGACCCAAAAAUCCACAUUCUUAAAAGUCAUUUUGGCCACUGCAGGAGUACAGAGUACUGCAGUUCUAGGGGGCGCCAAAGAUGACCCAAAAAUCCACAUUCUUAAAAGUCUUUUUGGCCACUGCAGGAGUACAGAGUACUGCAGGAUACACACACAUAUACACACACGCCAACAUACACACACACACACACACACACACACACACACACACACAGACACACACCCACACUCAGAGUCUGGUUUUUAGCACCUGCAAAAACAUGCUGUUUACAUAUUUGACAAGAAUGCAGAGGCUUCCUUUUGCCCCUGAAAAAAAUCAAAUUUCAAACACAACUUGACUGUUCAUUUCUCCAAAAGACAACCAUGAAGCUCCAUUUCAAACCUGAAGCAGAUAGUUGGUGCAUGUGUACAGUAACCUGAGGGGAGUGAGGUGACUAUUUCUGAGGAGAACAUGAGCAGUGAAGAUUCACCUUGGAGCUAGAACAGGGACGUGCACAUGAUUAUACAGGGGCAGGGGCUCAAGUUUUUUCCAGUCAUUUAUACAAUAUGGAAAUUAAUGUGAAAUUAAACUACAAAUAUGUGUGAUGAACUGUUUUUAAAACUUAAACUUCAAAUAAAAAUUGUAAACUUCAAAACAUAUGCAAAUUUUUAACAAAGAACAUAGUAAUUUACCUCUAUUUACAUCAAAAUGCAGGCAAUGGCCCAGGCGUUCUUUGUAAAAUUAUUUACAAAACACUGUAUAGUCUCACAAAUGUCACUUUUUAUUUAUGCCACUACAAAAAAACAUGAUGUAAAUGAUGCAUGAUGUAAAACAUGAUGUAAAAAACUUGUGUAGAUCCUCCUCUAUGUCAGUCCAUGUGUAAUUUUUCCAUAAUUCUUUGUUUUUUGCAGCAUUUUUGUUAGUGUAACUGCAGAUUGUGCUGACAGUGUCUAUGGCACAAAAAAAAAAAAAAAUUUUUAAUGCCUCAACAUGAACCCGUGGUGGUCUCUGAGGGUGAAACCUGCUAACUGCUGCAGCUCUGUCAGCUUCAGUCUCCCAUGCAGAGCUCUGAGCGCAUGUGUGGCUCUGCACCCUUAGCAGCGUUGCUAACUCCUCAGUAUGGAAAGCCUGCUUCAUGUCAGAGUCUCUAAACUCCAGAAGAAGUCGAUAAAAGUCCCUUUCUUUCUAAAAAAAAGUCGUUAGGGGGUCUGAAAAGUCAUUGAAUCUAACAACAAAGUCGCUAGGUUUGCAACUACGUGUCCCAGACUGCAUCCCUGCUGAGAGUCCCUCCCUCCCUUCUCAUGUUGCAGGAAGAACGUAAGCGCCCCCCCUUGUCAAUCAGUCACCAUAUAAUUUUGGAUUGGUUGUUGUGGUGAAGUUUUCCACCAAUAGGAGAGAUGUUGUGGUGUGUUUUUUUUUUCUUUUGGCAAGCCUUUUCCGCCUGUAAGAACUGUCGCUAAUGUCUGCAUGCUAUGUUUUCCUGUCUCAUACAGCGCGAUCGAGCGCCGAACGUGAUCAAAAUAAGCAGAAAAAAAAUAUCGCGGACAUAAUUUAUCAUAACUCUGGUUUUAUUUGGCCUAUCAACACAAUUUAAAAACUGGUAUAUAGGUUGAGGUCCUCACUUUUGAGAUAAGUUGAAACGGAGAGUCAACGAGGCUCCGUCUUGCAGCUACAUCCGGUUAAAUAUGUCAUGUGACUUGAACGCACACACAGACACACACACACAUACACACACACACACACACACACACACACACACACACUCAGAGUCUGGUUUUUAGCACCUGCAAAAACAUGCUAUUUACAUAUUUGACAAGAAUGCAGAGGCUCCUUUUGCCCCUGAAAAAAAUCAAAUUUCAAACACAACUUGACUGGUCAUUUCUCCAAAAGACAACCAUGAAGCUCCAUCCAAACCUGAAGCAGGCAGUUGGUGCAUGUGUACAGUAACCUGAGGGGAGUGAGGUGAGUGCUUCUGAGGAGAACAUGAGCAGUGAAGAUUCACCUUGGAGCUAGAACAGAGACAUGCACAUGAUUAUACAGGGGCAGGGGCUCAAGUUUUUUCCAGUCGUUUAUACAAUAUGGAAAUUAAUGUGAAAUUAAAACACAAAGUAUUAAUAGAAAGGUAAUUACUGUCCUGUGUAGGUGACAGUGAUAUCCAAUAGGCUAGGCACUCACGAGGCUGGCUGUGGCAAGUGUAAGUGAAAGCAACACGCACUGGCAGGAAGAACAGCAAACGCCGAUGAAGGAAAAGGGUCUUUGCAGUGAUGGGCGUUACCAGAGAGGGCGAUGGCCAGAGGACACAAAUGGGACGGGGAGGCAGCACGUUGGGGGGGGGGGACGCGACACGGCUCGGGCCCGCCAGUGCCCCAACGGGGUCCUAGUGUUAUUAUUAUUAGGGCCCGAGCGUAGCUGCUAAGCAGCUGCGAGAGCCCUCUUGUUCCUGAUGGAUUCUUCUUUCGUUAUUUUUCCUCCGCUUUAAACUGGAAAAUGGCCCACUUCCCACUGGCGAAAACUCAGGAAAUUUGGCAGGACGACCGGGCCUGGUGAAAAAUUUGAUAUUCUGAAGUCACCCAAACAAAAAAAUGAAAAAUGGCUCCAUAGCGCCCCCUAUGGUGAAAACUCACCUGAUGCCUGUACGCUUUGUCAAAAUGACACAAAAUUUGACACACAUGUGUAUCUCAAUAAGAUCUACGAAAAAGUCAGUGCGGGCAUAUCUGCCAAAUGUACGGUUAAAGGGCUAUUUCGCUUUUUUUGCCAAUCCGCACACAUUGGAAUUUCGCUAACUCCUCCGAAGGCUUUCGUUCCACCGGCACCAAAUUUGCUCAGGCCAAUCUACACCCCAUGGCCAUUAAAAGUUGUACAAAUCAUGAUGCUGCACCCCACGGUUUACUUUCUAGGGGGCGCCAAAGAUAACACAAAAAUCCACAUUCUUAAAAGUCUUAUAACUUUUUAUUUUUGUCCUCACUGGCCUCCAAGUUUUCUAGGAUGAUGCAAUGUCCAGCCAUCAACACAUUUGUGAAGGAAUUUUUACUCCCCAAAAGAGCGCCCCCCCAUGGCAGGAGAAAAAAGUCCAUUUUUUCUUGUCUCCUAAGGUAAAAAUACACAUUGUUGAGUGUCACGCCUAUACACUUUGUCAUAUUGACACACAAUUUGACAAUCACGUGUAUCUCAAUAAGAUCUACAAAAAAGUCAAUAGGCACGUAUCUGUCAAAUGUAUGGUUAAAGGGCUAUUUCGCAUUUUUUGCCGAUUCGCACACAUUGGAAUGUGGCUAUCUCCUCCUAAGGCUUUCGUCCCACCGAUACCAAAUUUGCUCAGGGCAAUCUACACCCCAUGGCCAUUCAAAGUUGUAAAAAUCAUGACGCUGCACCCCACGGUUUACGUUCUAGGGGGCGCCAAAGAUGACCCAAAAAUCCACAUUCUUAAAAGUCAUUUUGGCCACUGCAGGAGUACAGAGUACUGCCGGACACACACACAUAUACACACACACCAACACACACACACACACACACACACACACACACACACACACACACACACACACACACACACACACACACACACACACACUCAGAGUCUGUUUUUUAGCACCUGCAAAAACAUGCUGUUUACAUAUUUGACAAGAAUGCAGAGGCUUCCUUUUGCCCCUGAAAAAAAUCAAAUUUCAAACACAACUUGACUGUUCAUUUCUCCAAAAGACAACCAUGAAGCUCCAUCCAAACCUGAAGCAGAUAGUUGGUGCAUGUGUACAGUAACCUGAGGAGAGUGAGGUGACUACUUCUGAGGAGAACAUGAGCAGUGAAGAUUCACCUUGGAGCUAGAACAGGGACGUGCACAUGAUUAUACAGGGGCAGGGGCUCAAGUUUUUUCCAGUCAUUUAUACAAUAUGGAAAUUAAUGUGAAAUUAAACCACAAAUAUGAGUGAUGAACUGUUUUUAAAACUUAAACUUCAAAUAAAAAUUGUAAACUUCAAAACAUAUGCAAAUUUUUAACAAAGAACAUAGUAAUUUACCUCUAUUUACAUCAAAAUGCAGGCAAUGGCCCAGGCGUUCUUUGUAAAAUUAUUUACAAAACACUGUAUAGUCUCACAAAUGUCACUUUUUAUUUAUGCCACUACAAAAAAACAUGAUGUAAAUGAUGCAUGAUGUAAAACAUGAUGUAAAAAACUUGUGUAGAUCCUCCUCUAUGUCAGUCCAUGUGUAAUUUUUCCAUAAUUCUUUGUUUUUUGCAGCAUUUUUGUUAGUGUAACUGCAGAUUGUGCUGAUAGUGUCUAUGGCAAAAAAAAAAAAAACUAAAAAUGCCUCAACAUGAACUCCUGGUGGUCUCUGAGGGUGAAACCUGCUAACUGCUGCAGCUCUCUCAGCUCUAGUCUCCCAUGCAGAGCUCGGAGCGCAUGUGUGGCUCUGCACCCUUAGCAGCGUUGCUAACUCCUCAGUAAGGAAAGCCUGCUUCAUGUCAGAGUCUCUAAACUCCAGAGGAAGUCGAUAAAAUUCCCUUUCUUUCUAAAAAAAAGUCGUUAGGGGGUCUGAAAAGUCAUUGAAUCUAACAACAAAGUCGCUAGGUUUGCAACUACGUUUCCCAGACUGCAUCCCUGCUGAGAGUUCCUCCCUCCCUUCUCAUAUUGCAGGAAGAACGUAAGCGCCCGCCCCUUGUCAAUCAGUCACCAUAUAAUUUUGGAUUGGUUGUUGUGGUGAAGUUUUCCACCAAUAGGAGAGAUGUUGUGGUGUGUUUUUUUUUCUUUUGGCAUGCCUUUUCCGCCUGUAAGACCUGUCGCUAAUGUCUGCAUGCUAUGUUUUCCUGUCUCAUACAGCGUGAUCGAGCGCCGAACGUGAUCAAAAUAAGCAGAAAAAAAGUAUCGCGGACAUAAUUUAUCAUAACUCUGGUUUUAUUUGGCCUAUCAACACAAUUUAAAAACUGGUAUAUAGUUUGAGGUCCUCACUUUUGAGAUAAGUUGAAACGGAGGGUGAACGAGGCUCCGUCUUGCAGCUACAUCCGGUUAAAUAUGUCAUGUGACUUGAACGCUGGGGAGCGUCAAUCGACUGCAGAGCCAGCAGACAAAGUAGUUAUGCCACUGAGAGGCACACAUUUGUCAUAUGCUAUAAUCCUAACAUAUUUUAAUGCUUUUUCUAUUUAAACCUAAUGGAUCUAAGGUUUGACCUUCAAAAUUUAGGAAGAAUAUUUUUUUGCAGUAAUGACCCCCUUAAACAACCAGAGGUCCUUUCCUAAAGUUUAUGGAAAUUUUAGUGAAGGCCUUGGUUUCUUUCCUUGCAAAAUGUAUAGAAAUAAUAAAGCUAAAUACCAUAAAAUGGUCUUGGCGUAUUAGCAGUGAUAUAAAAUAGUGGUUUGAAUAUGAAUGAACAACAAAAAAAAAACAUCAACAGAGCCUUUUUGAGUUGGGAUUCUUUCAUUAUCACACAAAAACAGACAUAGACAGACAUCUAAAGGGUAAGGGAAUGAUCAGCCCUCCUAACUCUCAGAUGAAUCUUCAAAAUUCACCGCAGAAAUAUGCUUAUUAUUCUUCUCAGAGUACUGCAAGAUAUAUACACACACACAGACACACACACACACACACACACACACACACACACAUACACACACACACAGACACACUCAGAGUCUGUUUUUUAGCACCUGCAAAAACAUGCUAUUUACAUAUUUGACAAGAAUGCAGAGGCUCCUUUUGCCCCUGAAAAAAAAUCAAAUUUCAAACACAACUUGACUGGUCAUUUCUCCAAAAGACAACCAUGAAGCUCCAUCCAAACCUGAAGCAGGCAGUUGGUGCAUGUGUACAGUAACCUGAGGAGAGUGAGGUGACUACUUCUGAGGAGAACAUGAGCAGUGAAGAUUCACCUUGGAGCUAGAACAGGGACGUGCACAUGAUUAUACAGGGGCAGGGGCUCAAGUUUUUUCCAGUCAUUUAUACAAUAUGGAAAUUAAUGUGAAAUUAAAAAACAAAGUAUUAAUAGAAAGGUAAUGACUGUCCUGUGUAGAUGACAGUGAUAUCCAAUAGGCUAGGCACUCACGAGGCUGGCUGUGGCAAGUGUAAGUGAAAGCAACACGCACUGGCAGGAAGAACAGCAAACGCCGAUGAAGGAAAAGGGUCUUUGCAGUGAUGGGCGUUACCAGAGAGGGCGAUGGCCAGAGGACACGAAUGGGACGGGGAGGCAGCGCGUUGGGGGGGGGGGCGGCGCGACACGGCUCGGGCCCGCCAGUGCCCCAACGGGGCCCUAGUUAGGGCCCGAGCGUAGCUGCUAAGCAGCUGCGAGAGCCCUCUUGUUCCUGAUGGAUUCUUCUUUCGUUAUUUUUCCUCCGCUUUAAACUGGAAAAUGGCCCACUUCCCACUGGCGAAAACUCAGGAAAUUUGGCAGGACGACCGGGCCUGGUGAAAAAUUUGAUAUUCUGAAGUCGCCCAAACAAAAAAAUGAAAAAUGGCUCCAUAGCGCCCCCUAUGGUGAAAAUUCACCUGACGCCUGUACGCUUUGUCAAAAUGACACAAAAUUUGACACACAUGUGUAUCUCAAUAAGACCUACAAAAAAGUCAGUGCGGGCGUAUCUGUCAAAUGUACCGUUAAAGGGCUAUUUCGCAUUUUUUGCCGAUCCGCACACAUUGGAAUUUCGCUAACUCCUCCGAAGGCUUUCGUCCCACCGACACCAAAUUUGCUCAAGCCGAUCUACAUCCCAUGGCCAUUCAAAGUUGUAAAAAUCAUGCCGCUGCACCCCACGGUUUACGUUCUAGGGGGCGCCAAAGAUGACCCAAAUAUCCACAUUCUUAAUAGAUCCCCCCCCCCCCCCAAGGCAGGAGAAAAAGUCAAGUUAACCCUGCCCAUCGCUCAAUGGCUCAAUCGCAUCGCUCUCCCGGCAACACCGUAAGGAGGAGCAACUUGCCAUUUGGAUAUAUCCUAGCUGUGUUUGUGCCCUCACUCAUGGUCCAGACUUUUUUCAAAUAGGACAUGUAGUUUGUCUGCAGCGACCGUUUUGGUAGAAACUGCGCCUCCCAUUCAUUAUAAUGGGAAAUGACCACAGACAAGUGCGCACACCAUCUUCGGACCUUGAGUGUGACGCGAUCGGGAGGAGGAGGCGGUCGCGCUGGGGGCGGCGCGACGCGGCUCGGGCCCGACAGUGCCCCACCGGGGCCCUAGUUAUUAUUUUUCCUCCGCUUUAAACUGGAAAAUGGCCCACUUCCCACUGGCGAAAACUCAUGAAAUUUGGCAGGACGACCGGGCCUGGUGAAAAAUUCGAUAUUCUGAAGUCGCCCAAACAAUAAAAUGCAAAAUGGCUCCAUAGCGCCCCCUAAGGCGAAAAUUCAAACUAUUGACUGUCACGCCUGUACGCUUUGUCAUAUUGACACAAAAAUUGACACACACGUGUAUCUCAAUACGGUCUACGAAAAAGUCAGCGCGGGCGCAUCUGUGAAAUGUACGGUUAGAGGGUUAUUUCGCAUUUUUUGCCGAUCUGCACACAUUGGAAUUUGGCUAACUCCUCCGAAGGCAUUCGUUCCACCGGCACCACAUUUGCUCAAGCCAAUCUACACCCCAUGGCCAUUAAAAGUUGUACAAAUCAUGACGCUGCACCCCACAGUUUACGUUCUAGGGGGCGCCAAAGAUAACCCAAAAAUCCACAGUCUUAAAAGUCUUAUAACUUUUUAUUUUUGCCCUCACUGGCCUCCAAGUUUUCUAGGAUGAUGCAAUGUCCAGCCAUCAACACAUUUGUGAAGGAAUUUUUACUCCCCAAAAGAGCGCCCCCACAUGGCAGGAGAAAAAAGUCCAUUUUUUCUUGUCCCCUAAGGUGAAAAUACACAUUGUUGAGUGUCACGCCUAUACGCUUUGUCAUAUUGACACAAAAUUUGACAAUCACGUGUAUCUCAAUAAGAUCUACGAAAAAGUCAAUGGGCACGUAUCUGUAAAAUGUACGGUUAAAGGGUUAUUUCGCAUUUUUUCCCGAUCCGCACACAUUGGAUUUUCACUAACUCCUCCGAAGGCUUUAGUUCCACCGCCACCAAAUUUGCUCAGGCCAAUCUACACCCCAUGGCCAUUAAAAGUUGUACAAAUCAUGACGUUGCACUCCACGGUUUAGGUUCUAGGGGGCGCCAAAGAUAACCCAAAAAUCCACAUUCUUAAUAGUCUUAUAACUUUUUAUUUUUGUCCUCACUGGCCUCCAAGUUUUCUAGGAUGAUGCAAUGUCCAGCCAUCAACACAUUUGUAAAGGAAUUUUUACUCCCGAAAAGAGCGCCCCCCCAUGGCAGGAGAAAAAUGUCCAUUUUUUCUUGUCCCCUAAGGUGAAAAAACACAUUGUUGACUGUCACGCCUAUACGCUUUGUCAAAAUGACACAAAAUUUGACACACACGUGUAUCUCAAUAAGAUCUACGAAAAAGUCAAUGGGCACGUAUCUGUAAAAUGUACGGUUAAAGGGCUAUUUCGCAUUUUUUGCAGAUCUGCACACAUUGGAAUGUGGCUAACUCCUCCUAAGGCUUUCUUCCCACCGACACCAAAUUUGCUCAAGCCGAUCUACAUCCCAUGGCCAUUCAAAGUUGUAAAAAUCAUGCCGCUGCACCCCAUGGUUUACGUUCUAGGGGGCGCCAAAGAUGACCCAAAUAUCCACAUUCUUAAAAGAAUCCACAUCCCCCCCCCCCCCCCCCCCCCCCCCCCCAAGGCAGGAGAAAAAGUCCAGUUAACCCUGCCCAUCGCUCAAUGGCUCAAUCGCAUCGCUCUCCUGGCAACACCGUAAGGAGGAGCAACUUGCCAUUUGGAUAUAUCCUAGCUGUGUUUGUGCCCUCACUCAUGGUCCAGACUUUUUUCAAAUAGGACAUGUAGUUUGUCUGCAGCGACCGUUUUGGUAGAAACUGCGCCUCCCAUUCAUUAUAAUGGGAAAUGACCACAGACAAGUGCGCACACCAUCUUUGGACCUUGAGUGUGAUGCGAUCGGGAGGGGGAGGCGGUCGCGCUGGGGGCGGCGCGACGCGGCUCGGGCCCGACAGUGCCCCACCGGGGCCCUAGUUUGUUAUUAUUAUUUUUCCUCCCCUUUGAACUGGAAAAUGGCCCACUUCCCACUGGCGAAAACUCAUGAAAUUUGGCAGGGCGACCGGGCCUGGUGAAAAAUUUGAUAUUCCGAAGUCGCCCAAACAAGAAAAUGCAAAAUGGCUCCAUAGCGCCCCCUAAGGUGAAAAUUCACACUAUUGACUGUCACGCCUGUACGCUUUGUCAAAAUGACACAAAAAUUGACACACACAUGUAUCUCAAUAAGAUCUACAAAAAAGUCAGUGCGGGCGUAUCUGUCAAAUGUACGGUUAAAGGGUUAUUUCGCAUUUUUUGCCGAUCCGCACACAUUGGAAUUUCGCUAACUCCUCCGAAGGCUUUCGUUCCACCGGCACCACAUUUGCUCAGGCCAAUCUACACCCCAUGGCCAUUAAAAGUUAUUCAAAUCAUGACGCUGCACCCCACGGUUUAGGUUCUAGGGGGCGCCAAAGAUAACCCUAAAAUCCACAUAUUUAAAAGUCUUAUAACUUUUUAUUUUUGCCCUCACUGGCCUCCAAGUUUUCUAGGAUGAUGCAAUGUCCAGCCAUCAACACAUUUGUGAAGGAAUUUUUACUCCCCAAAAGAGCGCCCCCCCAUGGCAGGAGAAAAAAGUCCAUUUUUUCUUGUCCCCUAAGGUGAAAAUUCACACUAUUGACUGUCACGCCUGUACGCUUUGUCAAAAUGACACAAAAAUUGACACACACAUGUAUCUCAAUAAGAUCUACAAAAAAGUCCAUGCGCGCGUAUCUGUCUAAUGUACGGUUAAAGGGUUAUUUCGCAUUUUUUGCCGAUCCGCACACAUUGGAAUUUCGCUAACUCCUCCGAAGGCUUUCGUUCCACCGGCACCACAUUUGCUCAGGCCAAUCUACACCCCAUGGCCAUUAAAAGUUAUUCAAAUCAUGACGCUGCACCCCACGGUUUAGGUUCUAGGGGGCGCCAAAGAUAACCCAAAAAUCCACAUUUUUAAAAGUCUUAUAACUUUUUAUUUUUGUCCUCACUGGCCUCCAAGUUUUCUAGGAUGAUGCAAUGUCCAGCCAUCAACACAUUUGUGAAGGAAUUUUUACUCCCCAAAAGAGCGCCCCCCCAUGGCAGGAGAAAAAAGUCAAUUUUUUCUUGUCCCCUUACAUGAAAAUACACAUUGUUGAGUGUCACGCCUGAACGCUUUGUCAUAUUGACACAAAAAUUGACAAUCAUGUGUAUCUCAAUUAGAUCUACGAAAAAGUCAAAGAUUGCGUAUCUGUAUAAUGUACGGUUAAAGGGCUAUUUUGCAUUUUUUGCCAAUUCGCACACAUUGGAAUGUGGCUAUCUCCUCCUAAGGCUUUCGUCCCACCGAUACCAAAUUUGCUCAGGGCAAUCUACACCCCAUGCCCAUACAAAGUUGUAAAAAUCAUGACGCUGCACCCCACGGUUUACGUUCUAGGGGGCGCCAAAGAUGACCCAAAAAUCCACAUUCUUAAAAGUCAUUUUGGCCACUGCAGGAGUACAGAGUACUGCAGUUCUAGGGGGCGCCAAAGAUGACCCAAAAAUCCACAUUCUUAAAAGUCUUUUUGGCCACUGCAGGAGUACAGAGUACUGCAGGAUACACACACAUAUACACACACGCCAACAUACACACACACACACACACACACACAGACACACACACACACUCAGAGUCUGUUUUUUAGCACCUGCAAAAACAUGCUGUUUACAUAUUUGACAAGAAUGCAGAGGCUCCUUUUGCCCCUGAAAAAAAUCAAAUUUCAAACACAACUUGACUGUUCAUUUCUCCAAAAGACAACCAUGAAGCUCCAUUUCAAACCUGAAGCAGAUAGUUGGUGCAUGUGUACAGUAACCUGAGGGGAGUGAGGUGACUAUUUCUGAGGAGAACAUGAGCAGUGAAGAUUCACCUUGGAGCUAGAACAGAGACAUGCACAUGAUUAUACAGGGGCAGGGGCUCAAGUUUUUUCCAGUCAUUUAUACAAUAUGGAAAUUAAUGUGAAAUUAAACCACAAAUAUGUGUGAUGAACUGUUUUUCAAACUUAAACUUCAAAUAAAAAUUGUAAACUUCAAAACAUAUGCAAAUUUUUAACAAAGAACAUAGUAAUUUACCUCUAUUGACAUCAAAAUGCAGGCAAUGGCCCAGGUGUUCUUUGUAAAAUUAUUUACAAAACACUGUAUAGUCUCACAAAUGUCACUUUUUAUUUAUGCCACUACAAAAAAACAUGAUGUAAAUGAUGCAUGAUGUAAAACAUGAUGUAAAAAACUUGUGUAGAUCCUCCUCUAUGUCAGUCCAUGUGUAAUUUUUCCAUAAUUCUUUGUUUUUUGCAGCAUUUUUGUUAGUGUAACUGCAGAUUGUGCUGACAGUGUCUAUGGCAAAAAAAAAAAAAAAAACUGAAAAUGCCUCAACAUGAACCCCUGGUGGUCUCUGAGGGUGAAACCUGCUAACUGCUGCAGCUCUGUCAGCUUCAGUCUCCCAUGCAGAGCCCGGAGCGCAUGUGUGGCUCUGCACCCUUAGCAGCGUUGCUAACUCCUCAGUAAGGAAAGCCUGCUUCAUGUCAGAGUCUCUAAACUCCAGAAGAAGUCGAUAAAAGUCCCUUUCUUUCUAAAAAAAAGUCGUUAGGGGGUCUGAAAAGUCAUUGAAUCUAACAACAAAGUCGCUAGGUUUGCAACUACGUGUCCCAGACUGCAUCCCUGCUGAGAGUCCCUCCCUCCCUUCUCAUAUUGCAGGAAGAACAUAAGUUCCCGCCCCUUGUCAAUCAGUCACCAUAUAAUUUUGGAUUGGUUGUUGUGGUGAAGUUUUCCACCAAUAGGAGAGAUGUUGUGGUGUGUUUUUUUUUUUCCUUUGGCAAGCCUUUUCCGCCUGUAAGACCUGUCGCUAAUGUCUGCAUGCUAUGUUUUCCUGUCUCAUACAGCGCGAUCGAGCGCCGAACGUGAUCAAAAUAAGCAGAAAAAAAGUAGCGCGGACAUAAUUUAUCAUAACUCUGGUUUUAUUAGGCCUAUCAACACAAUUUAAAAACUGGUAUAUAGGUUGAGGUCCUCACUUUUGAGAUAAAUUGAAACGGAGAGUCAACGAGGCUCCGUCUUGCAGCUACAUCCGGUUAAAUAUGUCAUGUGACUUGAACGCACACACACACACACACACAGACACACACACACACACACGCACACACACACACUCAGAGUCUGGUUUGUAGCACCUGCAAAAACAUGCUAUUUACAUAUUUGACAAGAAUGCAGAGGCUCCUUUUGCCCCUGAAAAAAAUCAAAUUUCAAACACAACUUGACUGGUCAUUUCUCCAAAAGACAACCAUGAAGCUCCAUCCAAACCUGAAGCAGGCAGUUGGUGCAUGUGUACAGUAACCUGAGGGGAGUGAGGUGACUGCUUCUGAGGAGAACAUGAGCAGUGAAGAUUUACCUUAGAGCUAGAACAGAGACGUGCACAUGAUUAUACAGGGGCAGGGGCUCAAGUUUUUUCCAGUCGUUUAUACAAUUUGGAAAUUAAUGUGAAAUUAAAAAACAAAGUAUUAAUAGAAAGGUAAUGACUGUCCUGUGUAGGUGACAGUGAUAUCCAAUAGGCUAGGCACUCACGAGGCUGGCUGUGGCAAGUGUAAGUGAAAGCAACACGCACUGGCAGGAAGAACAGCAAACGCCGAUGAAGGAAAAGGGUCUUUGCAGUGAUGGGCGUUACCAAAGAGGGCGAUGGCCAGAGGACACAAAUGGGACGGGGAGGCAGCGCGUUGGGGGGGGGGGACGCGACACAGCUCGGGCCCGCCAGUGCCCCAACGGGGUCCUAGUCUUUAGGGCCCGAGCCAGCUGCAGAGCAGCCGGGCGUAGGCCCUAUUAUUCCCCAAGUGGUUUUUCUUUGUUUCUUUCUUUCUUUCUUUAGGGCCCGAGCGUAGCUGCUAAGCAGCUGCGAGAGCCCUCUUGUUCCUGUAGUUUCCUUCUUUUGUUAUUAUUAUUAUUUUUCCUCCCCUUUGAACUGGAAAAUGGCCCACUUCCCACUGGCGAAAACUCAUGAAAUUUGGCAGGACGACCGGGCCUGGUGAAAAAUUUGAUAUUCCGAAGUCGCCCAAACAAGAAAAUGCAAAAUGGCUCCAUAGCGCCCCCUAAGGUGAAAAUUCACACUAUUGACUGUCACGCCUGUACGCUUUGUCAAAAUGACACAAAAAUUGACACACACAUGUAUCUCAAUAAGAUCUACAAAAAAGUCAGUGCGGGCGAAUCUGUCAAAUGUACGGUUAAAGGGUUAUUUCGCAUUUUUUGCCGAUCCGCACACAUUGGAAUUUCGCUAACUCCUCCGAAGGCUUUCGUUCCACCGGCACCACAUUUGCUCAGGCCAAUCUACACCCCAUGGCCAUUAAAAGUUAUUCAAAUCAUGACGCUGCACCCCACGGUUUAGGUUCUAGGGGGCGCCAAAGAUAACCCUAAGAUCCACAUAUUUAAAAGUCUUAUAACUUUUUAUUUUUGCCCUCACUGGCCUCCAAGUUUUCUAGGAUGAUGCAAUGUCCAGCCAUCAACACAUUUGUGAAGGAAUUUUUACUCCCCAAAAGAGCGCCCCCCAUGGCAGGAGAAAAAAGUCCAUUUUUUCUUGUCCCCUAAGGUGAAAAUACACAUUGUUGAGUGUAACACCUGUACGCUUUGGCAAAAUGACACAAAAAUUGACACACACAUGUAUCUCAAUAAGAUCUACGAAAAAGUCAAUGCGCGCGUAUCUGUCAAAUGUACGGUUAAAGGGUUAUUCCGCAUUUUUUGCCGAUCCGCACACAUUGGAAUUUCGCUAACUCCUCCGAAGGCUUUCAUUCCACCGGUACCACAUUUGCUCAGGCCAAUCUACACCCCAUGGCCAUUAAAAGUUAUUCAAAUCAUGACGCUGCAUCCCACGGUUUAGGUUCUAGGGGGCGCCAAAGAUAACCCUAAAAUCCACAUAUUUAAAAGUCUUAUAACUUUUUAUUUUUGUCCUCACUGGCCUCCAAGUUUUCUAGGAUGAUGCAAUGUCCAGCCAUCAACACAUUUGUGAAGGAAUUUUUACUCCCCAAAAGAGCGCCCCCCCAUGGCAGGAAAAAAAAGCCAAUUUUUUCUUGUCCCCUAAGGUGGAAAUUCACACUAUUGACUGUCACGCCUGUACGCUUUAUCAUAUUGACACAAAAAUUGACACACAUAUGUAUCUCAAUAAGAUCUACAAAAGAGUCGAUUCGCGCGUAUCUGUCAAAUGUACGGUUAAAGGGCUAUUUUGCAUUUUUUGCCGAUUCGCACACAUUGGAAUGUGGCUAACUCCUCCUAAGGCUUUCGUCCCACUGACACCAAAUUUGCUCAGGCCAAUCUACACCCCAUGGCCAUUCAAAGUUGUAAAAAUCAUGACGCUGCACCCCACGGUUUACGUUCUAGGGGGCGCCAAAGAUGACCCAAAAAUCCACAUUCUUCAAAGAAUCCACAUCCCCCCCCCCCCCCCCCAUAUGGCAGGAGAAAAAGUUAAGUUUUUCCUGCCCAUCGCUCAAUGGCUCAAUCGCAUCGCUCUCCAGGCAACACCGUAAGGAGGAGCAACCUGCCAUUUCGAUAUAUCAUAGCUGUGUUUGUGCCCUCACUCAUGGUCCAGACUUUUUUCAAAUAGGACAUGAAGUUUGUCUGCAGCGAGUGUUUUGGUAGAAACUGCGCCUCCCAUUCAUUAUAAUAGGAAAUGACCACAGACAAGUGCGCACACCAUCUUUGGAUCUUGAGUGUGACGCGAUCGGGAGGGGGAGGCGGUCGCACUGGGGGCGGCGCGACACGGCUCGGGCCCGACAGUGCCCCAACGGGGUCCUAGUUAUUAUUUUUCCUCCGCUUUAAACUGGAAAAUGGCCCACUUCCCACUGGCGAAAACUCAGGAAAUUUGGCAGGACGACCGGGCCUGGUGAAAAAUUCGAUAUUCUGAUGUCGCCCAAACAAUAAAAUGCAAAAUGGCUCCAUAGCGCCCCCUAAGGUGAAAAUUCACACUAUUGACUGUCACGCCUGUACGCUUUGUCAUAUUGAUACAAAAAUUGACACACACAUGUAUCUCAAUAAGAUCUACAGAAAAGUCAGUGCGGGCGUAUCUGUCAAAUGUACGGUUAAAGGGUUAUUUCGCAUUUUUUGCCGAUCCGCACACAUUGAAAUUUCGCUAACUCCUCCGAAGGCUUUCGUUCCACCGGCACCACAUUUGCUCAGGCCAAUCUACACCCCAUGGCCAUCGAAAGUUGUACAAAUCAUGACGCUGCACCCCACGGUUUACGUUCUAGGGGGCGCCAAAGAUAACCAAAAAAUCCACAUUCUUAAAAGUCUUAUAACUUUUUAGUUUUUUCCUCACUGGCCUCCAAGUUCUCUAGGAUGAUGCAAUGUCCAGCCAUCAACACAUUUGUGAAGGAAUUUUUACUCCCCAAAAGAGCGCCCCCCCCAUGGCAGGAGAAAAAAGUCCAUUUUUUCUUGUCCCCUAAGGUGAAAAUACACAUUGUUGACUGUCACGCCUGUACGCUUUGUCAUAUUGACACAAAAAUUGACACACACAUGUAUCUCAAUAAGAUCUACGAAAAAGUCAAUGGGCACGUAUCUGUAAAAUGUACGGUUAAAGGGCUAUUUUGCAUUUUUUGCUGAUUCGCACACAUUGGUAUGUGGCUAACUCGUCCUACAGCUUUCGUCCCACUGACACCAAAUUUGCUCAGGCCAAUCUACACCCCAUGGCCAUUAAAAGUUGUAAAAAUCAUGACGCUGCACCCCACGGUUUACGUUCUAGGGGGCACCAAAGAUGACCCAAAAAUCCACAUUCUUAAAAGUCAUUUUGGCCACUGCAGGAGUACAGAGUACUGCAGUUCUAGGGGGCGCCAAAGAUGACCCAAAAAUCCACAUUCUUAAAAGUCUUUUUGGCCACUGCAGGAGUACAGAGUACUGCAGGAUACACACACAUAUACACACACACACACACACACACACACACACACACACACACACACACACACACACACACACUCAGAGUCUGUUUUUUAGCACCUGCAAAAACAUGCUGUUUACAUAUUUGACAAGAAUGCAGAGGCUUCCUUUUGCCCCUGAAAAAAAUCAGAUUUCAAACACAACUUGACUGUUCAUUUCUCCAAAAGACAACCAUGAAGCUCCAUCCAAACCUGAAGCAGAUAGUUGGUGCAUGUGUACAGUAACCUGAGGGGAGUGAGGUGACUAUUUCUGAGGAGAACAUGAGCAGUGAAGAUUCACCUUGGAGCUAGAACAGGGACGUGCACAUGAUUAUACAGGGGCAGGGGCUCAAGUUUUUUCCAGUCAUUUAUACAAUAUGGAAAUUAAUGUGAAAUUAAAACACAAAUAUGUGUGAUGAACUGUUUUUAAAACUUAAACUUCAAAUAAAAAUUGUAAACUUCAAAACAUAUGCAAAUUUUUAACAAAGAACAUAGUAAUUUACCUCUAUUUACAUCAAAAUGCAGGCAAUGGCCCAGGCGUUCUUUGUAAAAUUAUUUACAAAACACUGUAUAGUCUCACAAAUGUCACUUUUUAUUUAUGCCACUACAAAAAAACAUGAUGUAAAUGAUGCAUGAUGUAAAACAUGAUGUAAAAAACUUGUGUAGAUCCUCCUCUAUGUCAGUCCAUGUGUAAUUUUUCCAUAAUUCUUUGUUUUUUGCAGCAUUUUUGUUAGUGUAACUGCAGAUUGUGCUGACAGUCUAUGGCAAAAAAAACAAAAACUGAAAAUGCCUCAACAUGAACCCCUGGUGGUCUCUGAGGGUGAAACCUGCUAACUGCUGCAGCUCUGUCAGCUUCAGUCUCCCAUGCAGAGCUCGGAGCGCAUGUGUGGCUCUGCACCCUUAGCAGCGUUGCUAACUCCUCAGUAAGGAAAGCCUGCUUCAUGUCAGAGUCUCUAAACUCCAGAAGAAGUCGAUAAAAGUCCCUUUCUUUCUAAAAAAAAGUCGUUAGGGGGUCUGAAAAGUCAUUGAAUCUAACAACAAAGUCGCUAGGUUUGCAACUACGUGUCCCAGACUGCAUCCCUGCUGAGAGUCCCUCCCUCCCUUCUCAUGUUGCAGGAAGAACGUAAGCGCCCGCCCCUUGUCAAUCAGUCACCAUAUAAUUUUGGAUUGGUUGCUGUGGUGAAGUUUUCCACCAAUAGGAGAGAUGUUGUGGUGUGUUUCUUUUUUCUUUUGGCAAGCCUUUUCCGCCUGUAAGACCUGUCGCUAAUGUGUGCAUGCUAUGUUUUCCUGUCUCAUACAGCGCGAUCGAGCGCCGAACGUGAUCAAAAUAAGCAGAAAAAAAGUAUCGCGGACAUAAUUUAUCAUAACUCUGGUUUUAUUUGGCCUAUCAACACAAUUUAAAAACUGGUAUAUAGGUUGAGGUCCUCACUUUUGAGAUAAGUUGAAACGGAGAGUUAACGAGGCUCCGUCUUGCAGCUACAUCCGGUUAAAUAUGUCAUGUGACUUGAACGCUGGGGAGCGUCAAUCGAAUCAAAUCAAACCUAACUCUCAGAUGAAUCUUCAAAAUUCACCUCAGAAAUAUGCUUAUUAUUCUUCUCAGAGUACUGCAGGAUACACACACACACACACACACAGACACACACACACACACGCACACACACACACACACUCAGAGUCUGUUUUUUAGCACCUGCAAAAACAUGCUAUUUACAUAUUUGACAAGAAUGCAGAGGCUUCCUUUUGCCCCUGAAAAAAAUCAAAUUUCAAACACAACUUGACUGCUCAUUUCUCCAAAAGACAACCAUGAAGCUCCAUCCAAACCUGAAGCAGGCAGUUGGUGCAUGUGUACAGUAACCUGAGGGGAGUGAGGUGACUGCUUCUGAGGAGAACAUGAGCAGUGAAGAUUCACCUUGGAGCUAGAACAGGGACGUGCACAUGAUAAUACAGGGGCAGGGGCUCAAGUUUUUUCCAGUCGUUUAUACAAUAUGGAAAUUAAUGUGAAAUUAAAAAACAAAGUAUGACUGUCCUGUGUAGGUGACAGUGAUAUCCAAUAGGCUAGGCACUCACGAGGCUGGCUGUGGCAAGUGUAAGUGAAAGCAACAUGCACUGGCAGGAAGAACAGCAAACGCCGAUGAAGGAAAAGGGUCUUUGCAGUGAUGGGCGUUACCAGAGAGGGCGAUGGCCAGAGGACACGAAUGGGACGGGGAGGCAGCGCGUUGGGGGGGGGGGGUGCGACAUGGCUCGGGCCCGCCAGUGCCCCAACGGGGCCCUAGUUCUUUCUUUCUUUCUUCUUUUUCCUCCCCUUUGAACUGGAAAAUGGCCCACUUCCCACUGGCGAAAACUCAUGAAAUUUGGCAGGACGACCGGGCCUGGUGAAAAAUUCGAUAUUCUGAAGUCGCCCAAACAAUAAAAUGCAAAAUGGCUCCAUAGCGCCCCCUAAGGUGGAAAUUCACACUAUUGACUGUCACGCCUGUACGCUUUGUCAUAUUGACACAAAAAUUGACACACAUAUGUAUCUCAAUAAGAUCUACAAAAAAGUCAGUGCGGCCGUAUCUGUCAAAAUUACGGUUAAAGGGUUAUUUCGCAUUUUUUGCCGAUCCGCACACAUUGGAAUUUCGCUAACUCCUCCGAAGGCUUUCGUUCCACCGGCACCACAUUUGCUCAGGCCAAUCUACACCCCGUGGCCAUUAAAAGUUAUCAAAAUCAUGACGCUGCACCCCAAGGUUUAGGUUCUAGGGGGCGCCAAAGAUAACACUAAAAUCUACAUAUUUAAAAGUCUUAUAACUUUUUAUUUUUGUCCUCACUGGCCUCCAAGUUUUCUAGGAUGAUGCAAUGUCCAGCCAUCAACACAUUUGUGAAGGAAUUUUUACUCCCCAAAAGAGCGCCCCCCAUGGCAGGAGAAAAAAGUCCAUUUUUUCUUGUCCCCUAAGGUGAAAAUACACAUUGUUGAGUGUCACGCCUAUACGCUUUGUCAAAAUGACACAAAAAUUGACACACACAUGUAACUCAAUAAGAUCUACAAAAAAGUCCAUGCGCGCGUAUCUGUCAAAUGUACAGUUAAAGGGUUAUUCCGCAUUUUUUGCCGAUACGCACACAUUGGAAUGUGGCUAACUCCUCCGAAGGCUUUCGUUCCACCGGCACCACAUUUGCUCAGGCCAAUCUACACCCCAUGGCCAUUAAAAGUUAUUCAAAUCAUGAUGCUGCACCCCAUGGUUUAGGUUCUAGGGGGCGCCAAAAAUAACCCAAAAAUCCACAUUCUUAAAUGUUUUAUAACUUUUUAUUUUUGUCCUCACUGGCCUCCAAGUUUUCUAGGAUGAUGCAAUGUCCAGCCAUCAACACAUUUGUGAAGGAAUUUUUACUCCCCAAAAGAGCGCCCCCCCAUGGUAGGAGAAAAAAGUCAAUUUUUUCUUGUCCCCUUACAUAAAAAUACACAUUGUUGAGUGUCACGCCUGAACGCUUUGUCAUAUUGACACAAAAAUUGACAAUCAUGUGUAUCUCAAUUAGAUCUACGAAAAAGUCAAAGAGCGCGUAUCUGUAUAAUGUACGGUUAAAGGGCUAUUUUGCAUUUUUUGCCGAUUCGCACACAUUGGAAUGUGGCUAUCUCCUCCUAAGGCUUUCGUCCCACCGAUACCAAAUUUGCUCAGGGCAAUCUACACCCCAUGCCCAUUCAAAGUUGUAAAAAUCAUGACGCUGCACCCCACGGUUUACGUUCUAGGGGGCGCCAAAGAUGACCCAAAAAUCCACAUUCUUAAAAGUCAUUUUGGCCACUGCAGGAGUACAGAGUACUGCAGUUCUAGGGGGCGCCAAAGAUGACCCAAAAAUCCACAUUCUUAAAAGUCUUUUUGGCCACUGCAGGAGUACAGAGUACUGCAGGAUACACACACAUAUACACACACGCCAACAUACACACACACUCACACACACACACACACACACACACACAGACACACACACACACUCAGAGUCUGUUUUUUAGCACCUGCAAAAACAUGCUGUUUACAUAUUUGACAAGAAUGCAGAGGCUUCCUUUUGCCCCUGAAAAAAAUCAAAUUUCAAACACAACUUGACUGUUCAUUUCUCCAAAAGACAACCAUGAAGCUCCAUUUCAAACCUGAAGCAGAUAGUUGGUGCAUGUGUACAGUAACCUGAGGGGAGUGAGGUGACUAUUUCUGAGGAGAACAUGAGCAGUGAAGAUUCACCUUGGAGCUAGAACAGGGACGUGCACAUGAUUAUACAGGGGCAGGGGCUCAAGUUUUUUCCAGUCAUUUAUACAAUAUGGAAAUUAAUGUGAAAUUAAACCACAAAUAUGUGUGAUGAACUGUUUUUAAAACUUAAACUUCAAAUAAAAAUUGUAAACUUCAAAACAUAUGCAAAUUUUUAACAAAGAACAUAGUAAUUUACCUCUAUUUACAUCAAAAUGCAGGCAAUGGCCCAGGCGUUCUUUGUAAAAUUAUUUACAAAACACUGUAUAGUCUCACAAAUGUCACUUUUUAUUUAUGCCACUACAAAAAAACAUGAUGUAAAUGAUGCAUGAUGUAAAACAUGAUGUAAAAAACUUGUGUAGAUCCUCCUCUAUGUCAGUCCAUGUGUAAUUUUUCCAUAAUUCUUUGUUUUUUGCAGCAUUUUUGUUAGUGUAACUGCAGAUUGUGCUGACAGUGUCUAUGGCACAAAAAAAAAAAAAUUAAAAUGCCUCAACAUGAACCCCUGGUGGUCUCUGAGGGUGAAACCUGCUAACUGCUGCAGCUCUGUCAGCUUCAGUCUCCCAUGCAGAGCUCUGAGCGCAUGUGUGGCUCUGCACCCUUAGCAGCGUUGCUAACUCCUCAGUAAGGAAAGCCUGCUUCAUGUCAGAGUCUCUAAACUCCAGAAGAAGUCGAUAAAAGUCCCUUUCUUUCUAAAAAAAGUCGUUAGGGGGUCUGAAAAGUCAUUGAAUCUAACAACAAAGUCGCUAGGUUUGCAACUACGUGUCCCAGACUGCAUCCCUGCUGAGAGUCCCUCCCUCCCUUCUCAUGUUGCAGGAAGAACGUAAGCACCCUCCCCUUGUCAAUCAGUCACCAUAUAAUUUUGGAUUGGUUGUUGUGGUGAAGUUUUCCACCAAUAGGAGAGAUGUUGUGGUGUGUUUUUUUUUUUUUUUGGCAAGCCUUUUCCGCCUGUAAGACCUGUCGCUAAUGUCUGCAUGCUAUGUUUUCCUGUCUCAUACAGCGCGAUCGAGCGCCGAACGUGAUCAAAAUAAGCAGAAAAAAAGUAUCGCGGACAUAAUUUAUCAUAACUCUGGUUUUAUUUGGCCUAUCAACACAAUUUAAAAACUGGUAUAUAGGUUGAGGUCCUCACUUUUGAGAUAAGUUGAAACGGAGAGUCAACGAGGCUCCGUCUUGCAGCUACAUCCGGUUAAAUAUGUCAUGUGACUUGAACGCACACACAGACACACACACACACGCACACACACACACACACACACACACACACACACACACACACUCAGAGUCUGGUUUUUAGCACCUGCAAAAACAUGCUAUUUACAUAUUUGACAAGAAUGCAGAGGCUCCUUUUGCCCCUGAAAAAAAAAUCAAAUUUCAAACACAACUUGACUGGUCAUUUCUCCAAAAGACAACCAUGAAGCUCCAUCCAAACCUGAAGCAGGCAGUUGGUGCAUGUGUACAGUAACCUGAGGGGAGUGAGGUGAGUGCUUCUGAGGAGAACAUGAGCAGUGAAGAUUCACCUUGGAGCUAGAACAGAGACAUGCACAUGAUUAUACAGGGGCAGGGGCUCAAGUUUUUUCCAGUCGUUUAUACAAUAUGGAAAUUAAUGUGAAAUUAAAACACAAAGUAUUAAUAGAAAGGUAAUGACUGUCCUGUGUAGGUGACAGGGAUAUCGAAUAGGCUAGGCACUCACGAGGCUGGCUGUGGCAAGUGUAAGUGAAAGCAACACGCACUGGCAGGAAGAACAGCAAACGCCGAUGAAGGAAAAGGGUCUUUGCAGUGAUGGGCGUUACAAGAGAGGGCGAUGGCCAGAGGACACAAAUGGGACGGGGAGGCAGCACGUUGGGGGGGGGGGGGGGCCGACACGGCUCGGGCCCGCCAGUGCCCCAACGGGGUCCUAGUUGUUUCUUUCUUUCUUUAGGGCCCGAGCGUAGCUGCUAAGCAGCUGCGAGAGCCCUCUUGUUCCUGUAGUUUCCUUCUUUAGGGCCCGAGCGUAGCUGCUAAGCAGCUGCGAGAGCCCUCUUGUUCCUGUAGUUUCCUUCUUUUGUUAUUAUUAGGGCCCGAGCGUAGCUGCUAAGCAGCUGCGAGAGCCCUCUUGUUCCUGCAUGUUUCCUUCUUUUGUUAUUAUUAUUAUUUUUCCUCCCCUUUGAACUGGAAAAUGGCCCACUUCCCACUGGCGAAAACUCAUGAAAUUUGGCAGGACGACCGGGCCUGGUGAAAAAUUUGAUAUUCCGAAGUCGCCCAAACAAGAAAAUGCAAAAUGGCUCCAUAGCGCCCCCUAAGGUGAAAAUUCACACUAUUGACUGUCACGCCUGUACGCUUUGUCAAAAUGACACAAAAAUUGACACACACAUGUAUCUCAAUAAGAUCUACAGAAAAGUCAGUGCGGCCGUAUCUGUCAAAUGUACGGUUAAAGGGUUAUUUCGCAUUUUUUGCCGAUCCGCACACAUUGGAAUUUCGCUAACUCCUCCGAAGGCUUUCGUUCCACCGGCACCACAUUUGCUCAGGCCAAUCUACACCCCAUGGCCAUUAAAAGUUAUUCAAAUCAUGACGCUGCAUCCCACGGUUUAGGUUCUAGGGGGCGCCAAAGAUAACCCUAAGAUCCACAUAUUUAAAAGUCUUAUAACUUUUUAUUUUUGCCCUCACUGGCCUCCAAGUUUUCUAGGAUGAUGCAAUGUCCAGCCAUCAACACAUUUGUGAAGGAAUUUUUACUCCCCAAAAGAGCGCCCCCCCAUGGCAGGAGAAAAAAGUCCAUUUUUUCUUGUCCCCUAAGGUGAAAAUACACAUUGUUGAGUGUAACACCUGUACGCUUUGGCAAAAUGACACCAAAAUUGAGACACACAUGUAUCUCAAUAAGAUCUACAAAAAAGUCAAUGCGCACGUAUCUGUCAAAUGUACGGUUAAAGGGUUAUUCCGCAUUUUUUGCCGAUCCGCACACAUUGGAAUUUCGCUAACUCCUCCGAAGGCUUUCGUUCCACCGGCACCACAUUUUCUCAGGCCAAUCUACACCCCAUGGCCAUUAAAAGUUAUUCAAAUCAUGACGCUGCACCCCACGGUUUAGGUUCUAGGGGGCGCCAAAGAUAACCGUAAAAUCCACAUAUUUAAAAGUCUUAUAACUUUUUAUUUUUGUCCCCACUGGCCUCCAAGUUUUCUAGGAUGAUGCAAUGUCCAGCCAUCAACACAUUUGUGAAGGAAUUUUUACUCGCCAAAAGAGCGCCCCCCCAUGGCAGGAGAAAAAAGUCCAUUUUUUCUUGUCCACUAAGGUGAAAAUACACAUUGUUGAGUGCUACGCCUGUAUGUUUUGUCGUAUUGACACAAAAUUUUACAUACACGUGUCUUUCAAUAAGAUCUUCGAAAAAGUCAAUGGCCACGUAUCUGUAAAAUGUACGGUUAAAGGGUUAUUUCGCAUUUUUUGCAGAUUCGCACACAUUGGAAUUUCGCUAACUCCUCCGAAGGCUUUCGUUCCACCGGCACCACAUUUUCUCAGGCCAAUCUACACCCCAUGGCCAUUAAAAGUUAUUCAAAUCAUGACGCUGCACCCCACGGUUUAGGUUCUAGGGGGCGCCAAAGAUAACCCUAAGAUCCACAUAUUUAAAAGUCUUAUAACUUUUUAUUUUUGCCCUCACUGGCCUCCAAGUUUUCUAGGAUGAUGCAAUGUCCAGCCAUCAACACAUUUGUGAAGGAAUUUUUACUCCCCAAAAGAGCGCCCCCCCAUGGCAGGAGAAAAAAGUCCAUUUUUUCUUGUCCCCUAAGGUGAAAAUACACAUUGUUGAGUGUAACACCUGUACGCUUUGGCAAAAUGACACAAAAAUUGACACACAUAUGUAUCUCAAUAAGAUCUACGAAAAAGUCAAUGCGCGCGUAUCUGUCAAAUGUACGGUUAAAGGGUUAUUCCGCAUUUUUUGCCGAUCCGCACACAUUGGAAUUUCGCUAACUCCUCCGAAGGCUUUCGUUCCACCGGCACCACAUUUGCUCAGGCCAAUCUACACCCCAUGGCCAUUAAAAGUUAUUCAAAUCAUGACGCUGCACCCCACGGUUUAGGUUCUAGGGGGCGCCAAAGAUAACCCUAAAAUCCACAUAUUUAAAAGUCUUAUAACUUUUUAUUUUUGUCCUCACUGGCCUCCAAGUUUUCUAGGAUGAUGCAAUGUCCAGCCAUCAACACAUUUGUGAAGGAAUUUUUACUCCCCAAAAGAGCGCCCCCCCAUGGCAGGAGAAAAAAGUCAAUUUUUUCUUGUCCCCUAAGGUGGAAAUUCACACUAUUAACUGUCACGCCUGUACGCUUUAUCAUAUUGACACAAAAAUUGACACACAUAUGUAUCUCAAUAAGAUCUACAAAAAAGUCAAUGCGCGCGUAUCUGUCAAAUGUACGGUUAAAGGGCUAUUUUGCAUUUUUUGCCGAUUCGCACACAUUGGAAUGUGGCUAACUUCUCCUAAGGCUUUCGUCCCACUGACACCAAAUUUGCUCAGGCCAAUCUACACCCCAUGGCCAUUCAAAGUUGUAAAAAUCAUGACGCUGCACCCCACGGUUUACGUUCUAGGGGGCGCCAAAGAUGACCCAAAUAUCCACAUUCUUAAAAGAAUCCACAUCCCCCCCCAUCCCCCACCCCCCAUGGCAGGAGAAACAGUCAAGUUUUUCCUGCCCAUCACUCAAUGGCUCAAUCGCAUCGCUCUCCCGGCAACACCGUAACGAGGAGCAACUUGCCGUUUGGAUAUAUCCUAGCUGUGUUUGUGCCCUCACUCAUGGUCCAGACUUUUUUCAAAUAGGACAUGUAGUUUGUCUGCAGCGAGUGUUUUGGUAGAAACUGCGCCUCCCAUUCAUUAUAAUGGGAAAUGACCACAGACAAGUGCGCACACCAUCUUUGGACCUUGAGUGUGACGCGAUCGGGAGGUGGAGGCGGUCGCGCUGGGGGCGGUGCGACGCGGCUCGGGCCCGACAGUGCCCCACCGGGGCCCUAGUUCUUUCUUUCUUUAGGGCCCGAGCGUAGCUGCUAAGCAGCUGCGAGAGCCCUCUUGUUCCUGCAUGUUUCCUUCUUUUGUUAUUAGGGCCCGAGCCAGCUGCAGAGCAGCCGGGCGUAGGCCCUAUUAUUCCCCAAGUGGUUUUUCUUUGUUUCUUUCUUUCUUUCUUUCUUUCUUUCUUCUUUUUCCUCCCCUUUGAACUGGAAAAUGGCCCACUUCCCACUGGCGAAAACUCAUGAAAUUUGGCAGGACGACCGGGCCUGGUGAAAAAUUCGAUAUUCUGAAGUCGCCCAAACAAGAAAAUGCAAAAUGGCUCCAUAGCGCCCCCUAAGGUGGAAAUUCACACUAUUGACUGUCACGCCUGUACGCUUUGUCAUAUUGACACAAAAAUUGACACACAUAUGUAUCUCAAUAAGAUCUACAAAAAAGUCAGUGCGGCCGUAUCUGUCAAAAUUACGGUUAAAGGGUUAUUUCGCAUUUUUUGCCGAUCCGCACACAUUGGAAUUUCGCUAACUCCUCCGAAGGCUUUCGUUCCACCGGCACCACAUUUGCUCAGGCCAAUCUACACCCCGUGGCCAUUAAAAGUUAUCAAAAUCAUGACGCUGCACCCCAAGGUUUAGGUUCUAGGGGGCGCCAAAGAUAACACUAAAAUCCACAUAUUUAAAAGUCUUAUAACUUUUUAUUUUUGUCCUCACUGGCCUUCAAGUUUUCUAGGAUGAUGCAAUGUCCAGCCAUCAACACAUUUGUGAAGGAAUUUUUACUCCCCAAAAGAGCGCCCCCCCAUGGCAGGAGAAAAAAGUCCAUUUUUUCUUGUCCCCUAAGGUGAAAAUACACAUUGUUGAGUGUCAAGCCUAUACGCUUUGUCAAAAUGACACAAAAAUUGACACACACAUGUAACUCAAUAAGAUCUACAAAAAAGUCCAGCGCGCGUAUCUGUCAAAUGUACAGUUAAAGGGUUAUUCCGCAUUUUUUGCCGAUACGCACACAUUGGAAUUUCGCUAACUCCUCCGAAGGCUUUCGUUCCACCGGCACCACAUUUGCUCAGGCCAAUCUACACCCCAUGGCCAUUAAAAGUUAUUCAAAUCAUGAUGCUGCACCCCAUGGUUUAGGUUCUAGGGGGCGCAAAAAAUAACCCAAAAAUCCACAUUCUUAAAUGUUUUAUAACUUUUUAUUUUUGUCCUCACUGGCCUCCAAGUUUUCUAGGAUGAUGCAAUGUCCAGCCAUCAACACAUUUGUGAAGGAAUUUUUACUCCCCAAAAGAGCGCCCCCCCAUGGUAGGAGAAAAAAGUCAAUUUUUUCUUGUCCCCUUACAUAAAAAUACACAUUGUUGAGUGUCACGCCUGAACGCUUUGUCAUAUUGACACAAAAAUUGACAAUCAUGUGUAUCUCAAUUAGAUCUACGAAAAAGUCAAAGAGCGCGUAUCUGUAUAAUGUACGGUUAAAGGGCUAUUUUGCAUUUUUUGCCGAUUCGCACACAUUGGAAUGUGGCUAUCUCCUCCUAAGGCUUUCGUCCCACCGAUACCAAAUUUGCUCAGGGCAAUCUACACCCCAUGCCCAUUCAAAGUUGUAAAAAUCAUGACGCUGCACCCCACGGUUUACGUUCUAGGGGGCGCCAAAGAUGACCCAAAAAUCCACAUUCUUAAAAGUCAUUUUGGCCACUGCAGGAGUACAGAGUACUGCAGUUCUAGGGGGCGCCAAAGAUGACCCAAAAAUCCACAUUCUUAAAAGUCUUUUUGGCCACUGCAGGAGUACAGAGUACUGCAGGAUACACACACAUAUACACACACGCCAACAUACACACACACACACACACACACACACACACACACACACACACACACACACACAGACACACACCCACACUCAGAGUCUGUUUUUUAGCACCUGCAAAAACAUGCUGUUUACAUAUUUGACAAGAAUGCAGAGGCUUCCUUUUGCCCCUGAAAAAAAUCAAAUUUCAAACACAACUUGACGUUUCAUUUCUCCAAAAGACAACCAUGAAGCUCCAUUUCAAACCUGAAGCAGAUAGUUGGUGCAUGUGUACAGUAACCUGAGGGGAGUGAGGUGACUAUUUCUGAGGAGAACAUGAGCAGUGAAGAUUCACCUUGGAGCUAGAACAGGGACGUGCACAUGAUUAUACAGGGGCAGGGGCUCAAGUUUUUUCCAGUCAUUUAUACAAUAUGGAAAUUAAUGUGAAAUUAAACCACAAAUAUGUGUGAUGAACUGUUUUUAAAACUUAAACUUCAAAUAAAAAUUGUAAACUUCAAAACAUAUGCAAAUUUUUAACAAAGAACAUAGUAAUUUACCUCUAUUUACAUCAAAAUGCAGGCAAUGGCCCAGGCGUUCUUUGUAAAAUUAUUUACAAAACACUGUAUAGUCUCACAAAUGUCACUUUUUAUUUAUGCCACUACAAAAAAACAUGAUGUAAAUGAUGCAUGAUGUAAAACAUGAUGUAAAAAACUUGUGUAGAUCCUCCUCUAUGUCAGUCCAUGUGUAAUUUUUCCAUAAUUCUUUGUUUUUGCAGCAUUUUUGUUAGUGUAACUGCAGAUUGUGCUGACAGUGUCUAUGGCACAAAAAAAAAAAAAAAUUAAAAUGCCUCAACAUGAACCCCUGGUGGUCUCUGAGGGUGAAACCUGCUAACUGCUGCAGCUCUGUCAGCUUCAGUCUCCCAUGCAGAGCUCUGAGCGCAUGUGUGGCUCUGCACCCUUAGCAGCGUUGCUAACUCCUCAGUAAGGAAAGCCUGCUUCAUGUCAGAGUCUCUAAACUCCAGAAGAAGUCGAUAAAAGUCCCUUUCUUUCUAAAAAAAAGUCGUUAGGGGGUCUGAAAAGUCAUUGAAUCUAACAACAAAGUCGCUAGGUUUGCAACUACGUGUCCCAGACUGCAUCCCUGCUGAGAGUCCCUCCCUCCCUUCUCAUGUUGCAGGAAGAACGUAAGCGCCCGCCCCUUGUCAAUCAGUCACCAUAUAAUUUUGGAUUGGGGAAAUUUUGCUAAACAAUGUGACAAUCACGUGCCUUGCCUGGUAUCAUUUUUUUCAGCACAACCUCACCUGUGCGAAUUUACAGUUAUUUUAUCAUGUUGACAUACUGAAUUUACACAAUGGACCCAAAUUCACACACAAAACAUAAAAUCCGAGUGGAAAAAAGUAACAUUUUUACUGUGAAAACCACAAAUAUGUGUGAUGAACUGUUUUUAAAACUUAAACUUCAAAUAAAAAUUGUAAACUUCAAAACAUAUGCAAAUUUUUAACAAAGAACAUAGUGAUUUACCUCUAUUUACAUCAAAAUGCAGGCAAUGGCCCAGGCGUUCUUUGUAAAAUUAUUUACAAAACACUGUAUAGUCUCACAAAUGUCACUUUUUAUUUAUGCCACUACAAAAAAACAUGAUGUAAAUGAUGCAUGAUGUAAAACAUGAUGUAAAAAACUUGUGUAGAUCCUCCUCUAUGUCAGUCCAUGUGUAAUUUUUCCAUAAUUCUUUGUUUUUUGCAGCAUUUUUGUUAGUGUAACUGCAGAUUGUGCUGACAGUGUCUAUGGCACAAAAAAAAAAAAAUUUAAAAUGCCUCAACAUGAACCCCUGGUGGUCUCUGAGGGUGAAACCUGCUAACUGCUGCAGCUCUGUCAGCUUCAGUCUCCCAUGCAGAGCUCUGAGCGCAUGUGUGGCUCUGCACCCUUAGCAGCGUUGCUAACUCCUCAGUAAGGAAAGCCUGCUUCAUGUCAGAGUCUCUAAACUCCAGAAGAAGUCGAUAAAAGUCACUUUCUUUCUAAAAAAAAGUCGUUGGGGGUCUGAAAAGUCAUUGAAUCUAACAACAAAGUCGCUAGGUUUGCAACUACGUGUCCCAGACUGCAUCCCUGCUGAGAGUCCCUCCCUCCCUUCUCAUGUUGCAGGAAGAACGUAAGCGCCCGCCCCUUGUCAAUCAGUCACCAUAUAAUUUUGGAUUGGUUGUUGUGGUGAAGUUUUCCACCAAUAGGAGAGAUGUUGUGGUGUGUUUUUUUUUCUUUUGGCAAGCCUUUUCCGCCUGUAAGACCUGUCGCUAAUGUCUGCAUGCUAUGUUUUCCUGUCUCAUACAGCGCGAUCGAGCGCCGAACGUGAUCAAAAUAAGCAGAAAAAAAGUAUCGCGGACAUAAUUUAUCAUAACUCUGGUUUUAUUUGGCCUAUCAACACAAUUUAAAAACUGGUAUAUAGGUUGAGGUCCUCACUUUUGAGAUAAGUUGAAACGGAGAGUCAACGAGGCUCCGUCUUGCAGCUACAUCCGGUUAAAUAUGUCAUGUGACUUGAACGCACACACAGACACACACACACGCACACACACACACACACACACACACACACACACACACACACACACACUCAGAGUCUGGUUUUUAGCACCUGCAAAAACAUGCUAUUUACAUAUUUGACAAGAAUGCAGAGGCUCCUUUUGCCCCUGAAAAAAAAUCAAAUUUCAAACACAACUUGACUGGUCAUUUCUCCAAAAGACAACCAUGAAGCUCCAUCCAAACCUGAAGCAGGCAGUUGGUGCAUGUGUACAGUAACCUGAGGGGAGUGAGGUGAGUGCUUCUGAGGAGAACAUGAGCAGUGAAGAUUCACCUUGGAGCUAGAACAGAGACGUGCACAUGAUUAUACAGGGGCAGGGGCUCAAGUUUUUUCCAGUCGUUUAUACAAUAUGGAAAUUAAUGUGAAAUUAAAACACAAAGUAUUAAUAGAAAGGAAAUGACUGUCCUGUGUAGGUGACAGUGAUAUCCAAUAGGCUAGGCACUCACGAGGCUGGCUGUGGCAAGUGUAAGUGAAAGCAACACGCACUGGCAGGAAGAACAGCAAACGCCGAUGAAGGAAAAGGGUCUUUGCAGUGAUGGGCGUUACCAGAGAGGGCGAUGGCCAGAGGACACAAAUGGGACGGGGAGGCAGCACGUUGGGGGGGGGGGGGACGCGACACGGCUCGGGCCCGCCAGUGCCCCAACGGGGUCCUAGUUAGGGCCCGAGCGUAGCUGCUAAGCAGCUGCGAGAGCCCUAUUAUUCCCCAAGUGGUUUUUCUUUGUUUCUUUUUUCUUUUUCCUCCCCUUUGAACUGGAAAAUGGCCCACUUCCCACUGGCGAAAACUCAUGAAAUUUGGCAGGACAACCGGGCCUGGUGAAAAAUUUGAUAUUCCGAAGUCGCCCAAACAAGAAAAUGCAAAAUGGCUCCAUAGCGCCCCCUAAGGUGAAAAUUCACACUAUUGACUGUCACGCCUGUACGCUUUGUCAAAAUGACACAAAAAUUGACACACACAUGUAUCUCAAUAAGAUCUACAAAAAAGUCAGUGCGGGCGUAUCUGUCAAAUGUACGGUUAAAGGGUUAUUUCGCAUUUUUUGCCGAUCCGCACACAUUGGAAUUUCGCUAACUCCUCAGAAGGCUUUCGUUCCACCGGCACCACAUUUGCUCAGGCCAAUCUACACCCCAUGGCCAUUAAAAGUUAUUCAAAUCAUGACGAUGCACCCCACGGUUUAGGUUCUAGGGGGCGCCAAAGAUAACCCUAAAAUCCACAUUUUUAAAAGUCUUAUAACUUUUUAUUUUUGCCCUCACUGGCCUCCAAGUUUUCUAGGAUGAUGCAAUGUCCAGCCAUCAACACAUUUGUGAAUGAAUUUUUACUCCCCAAAAGAGCGCCCCCCCAUGGCAGGAGAAAAAAGUCCAUUUUUUCUUGUCCCCUAAGGUGAAAAUACACAUUGUUGAGUGUUACGCCUGUACGCUUUGGCAAAAUGACACAAAAAUUGACACACACAUGUAUCUCAAGAAGAUCUACAAAAAAGUCCAUGCGCACGUAUCUGUCUAAUGUACGGUUAAAGGGUUAUUCCGCAUUUUUUGCCGAUUCCCACACAUUGGAAUUUCGCUAACUCCUCCGAAGGCUUUCGUUCCACCGGCACCACAUUUGCUCAGGCCAAAUUACACCCCAUGGCCAUUAAAAGUUAUUCAAAUCAUGACGCUGCACCCCACGGUUUACGUUCUAGGGGGCGCCAAAGAUAACCCAAAAAUCCACAUUUUUAAAAGUCUUUUAACUUUUUAUUUUUGUCCUCACUGGCCUCCAAGUUUUCUAGGAUGAUGCAAUGUCCAGCCAUCAACACAUUUGUGAAGGAAUUUUUACUCCCUAAAAGAGCGCCCCCCCAUGGCAGGAGAAAAAAGUCCAUUUUUUCUUGUCCCCUAAGGUGAAAAUACACAUUGUUGACUGUCACGCCUGUACGCUUUGGCAAAAUGACACAAAAAUUGACAAUCAUGUGUAUCUCAAUUAGAUCUACGAAAAAGUCAAAAAGCGCGUAUCUGUAUAAUGUAUGGUAAAAGGGCUAUUUUGCAUUUUUUGCCAAUUCGCACACAUUGGAAUUUCGCUAACUCCUCCUAAGGCCUUUGUCCCACUGACACCAAAUUUGCUCAGGCCAAUCUACACUCCAUGGCCAUUCAAAGUUGUAAAAAUCAUGACGCUGCACCCCACGGUUUACGUUUUAGGGGGCGCCAAAGAUGACCCAAAUAUACAUUACAGUAGACAAAGUAGUUUUGCCCACUGAGUGGCGCCAAAGGGACUUGUCUGUGGAGUCUGUGAGUCACUAUUGGCCGUUUUUGACUACUUUAGAUUUUACCUUUAUAUUUCCUCUUACAAAAUUUUUACCUUGCCUUGCCUGGUAUCAUUUUUUUCAGCACAACCUCACCUGUGUCAAUUUACAGUUAUUUUAUCAUUUUGACAUACUAUAUUUACACAUUGGACCCAAAUUCACACACAAAACAUAAAAUCCGAGUGGAAAAAAGUAACGUUUUUACUGUGAAAACCACAAAUAUGUGUGAUGAACUGUUUUUAAAACUUAAACUUCAAAUAAAAAUUGUAAACUUCAAAACAUAUGCAAAUUUUUAACAAAGAACAUAGAAAUUUACCUCUAUUGACAUCAAAAUGCAGGCAAUGGCCCAGGUGUUCUUUGUAAAAUUAUUUACAAAACACUGUAUAGUCUCACAAAUGUCACUUUUUAUUUAUGCCACUACAAAAAAACAUGAUGUAAAUGAUGCAUGAUGUAAAACAUGAUGUAAAAAACUUGUGUAGAUCCUCCUCUAUGUUAGUCCAUGUGUAAUUUUUCCAUAAUUCUUUGUUUUUUGCAGCAUUUUUGUUAGUGUAACUGCAGAUUGUGCUGACAGUGUCUAUGGCAAAAAAAAAAAAAAAAAAAACUGAAAAUGCCUCAACAUGAACCCCUGGUGGUCUCUGAGGGUGAAACCUGCUAACUGCUGCAGCUCUGUCAGCUUCAGUCUCCCAUGCAGAGCUCGGAGCGCAUGUGUGGCUCUGCACCCUUAGCAGUGUUGCUAACUCCUCAGUAAGGAAAGCCUGCUUCAUGUCAGAGUCUCUAAACUCCAGAAGAAGUCGAUAAAAGUCACUUUCUUUCUAAAAAAAAGUCGUUAGGGGGUCUGAAAAGUCAUUGAAUCUAACAACAAAGUCGCUAGGUUUGCAACUACGUGUCCCAGACUGCAUCCCUGCUGAGAGUCCCUCCCUCCCUUCUCAUAUUGCAGGAAGAACGUAAGUUCCCGCCCCUUGUCAAUCAGUCACCAUAUAAUUUUGGAUUGGUUGUUGUGGUGAAGUUUUCCACCAAUAGGAGAGAUGUUGUGGUGUGUUUUUUUUUUCCUUUGGCAAGCCUUUUCCGCCUGUAAGACCUGUCGCUAAUGUCUGCAUGCUAUGUUUUCCUGUCUCAUACAGCGCGAUCGAGCGCCGAACGUGAUCAAAAUAAGCAGAAAACAAGUAUCGCGGACAUAAUUUAUCAUAACUCUGGUUUUAUUUGGCCUAUCAACACAAUUUAAAAACUGGUAUAUAGGUUGAGGUCCUCACUUUUGAGAUAAAUUGAAACGGAGAGUCAACGAGGCUCCGUCUUGCAGCUACAUCCAGUUAAAUAUGUCAUGUGACUUGAACGCACACACACACACACACACACACACACACACACACAACACACACACACACACACGCACACACACACACUCAGAGUCUGGUUUUUAGCACCUGCAAAAACAUGCUAUUUACAUAUUUGACAAGAAUGCAGAGGCUCCUUUUGCCCCUGAAAAAAAUCAAAUUUCAAACACAACUUGACUGGUCAUUUCUCCAAAAGACAACCAUGAAGCUCCAUCCAAACCUGAAGCAGGCAGUUGGUGCAUGUGUACAGUAACCUGAGGGGAGUGAGGUGACUGCUUCUGAGGAGAACAUGAGCAGUGAAGAUUCACCUUAGAGCUAGAACAGAGACGUGCACAUGAUUAUACAGGGGCAGGGGCUCAAGUUUUUUCCAGUUGUUUAUACAAUAUGGAAAUUAAUGUGAAAUUAAAAAACAAAGUAUUAAUAGAAAGGUAAUGACUGUCCUGUGUAGGUGACAGUGAUAUCCAAUAGGCUAGGCACUCACGAGGCUGGCUGUGGCAAGUGUAAGUGAAAGCAACACGCACUGGCAGGAAGAGCAGCAAACGCCGAUGAAGGAAAAGGGUCUUUGCAGUGAUGGGCGUUACCAGAGAGGGCGACGGCCAGAGGACGCGAAUGGGAUGGGGAGGCAGCGCGUUGGGGGGGGGGACGCGACACAGCUCGGGCCCGCCAGUGCCCCAACGGGGUCCUAGUUAUUAUUUUUCCUCCCCUUUGAACUGGAAAAUGGCCCACUUCCCACUGGCGAAAACUCAUGAAAUUUGGCAGGACGACCGGGCCUGGUGAAAAAUUUGAUAUUCCGAAGUCGGCCAAACAAUAAAAUGCAAAAUGGCUCCAUAGCGCCCCCUAAGGUGAAAAAUUCACCUGACGCCUGUACGCUUUGUCAAAAUGACACAAAAAUUGACACACACAUGUAUCUCAAUAAGAUCUACAAAAAAGUCAGUGCGGGCGUAUCUGUCAAAUGUACGGUUAAAGGGUUAUUGCGCAUUUUUUGCCGAUCCGCACACAUUGGAAUUUCGCUAACUCCUCCGAAGGCUUUCGUUCCACCGGCACCACAUUUGCUCAGGCCAAUCUACACCCCAUGGCCAUUAAAAGUUAUUCAAAUCAUGACGCUGCACCCCACGGUUUAGGUUCUAGGGGGCGCCAAAGAUAACACUAAAAUCCACAUAUUUCAAAAGUCUUAUAACUUUUUAUUUUUGUCCUCACUGGCCUCCAAGUUUUCUAGGAUGAUGCAAUGUCCAGCCAUCAACACAUUUGUGAAGGAAUUUUUACUCCCAAAAGAGCGCCCCCCCAUGGCAGGAGAAAAAAGUCCAUUUUUUCUUGUCCCCUAAGGUGAAAAUACACAUUGUUGAGUGUCACGCCUGUACGCUUUGUCAAAAUGACACAAAAAUUGACACACACAUGUAUCUCAAUAAGAUCUACAAAAAAGUCAAUGGGCGCGUAUCUGUCAAAUGUACGGUUAAAGGGUUAUUCCGCAUUUUUUGCCGAUCCGCACACAUUGGAAUUUCGCUAACUCCUCCGAAGGCUUUCGUUCCACCGGCACCACAUUUGCUCAGGCCAAUCUACACCCCAUGGCCAUUAAAAGUUAUUCAAAUCAUGACGCUGCACCCCACGGUUUACGUUCUAGGGGGCGCCAAAGAUAACCCAAAAAUCCAAAUUUUUAAAAGUCUUAUAACUUUUUAUUUUUGUCCUCACUGGCCUCCAAGUUUUCUAGGAUGAUGCAAUGUCCAGCCAUCAACACAUUUGUGAAGGAAUUUUUACUCCCCAAAAGAGCGCCCCCCCAUGGCAGGAGAAAAAAGUCAAUUUUUUCUUGUCCCCUAAGGUGGAAAUUCACACUAUUGACUGUCACGCCUGUACGCUUUAUCAUAUUGACACAAAAAUUGACACACAUAUGUAUCUCAAUAAGAUCUACAAAAAAGUCAAUGCGCGCGUAUCUGUCAAAUGUACGGUUAAAGGGCUAUUUUGCAUUUUUUGCCGAUUCGCACACAUUGGAAUGUGGCUAACUCCUCCUAAGGCUUUCGUCCCACUGACACCAAAUUUGCUCAGGCCAAUCUACACCCCAUGGCCAUUCAAAGUUGUAAAAAUCAUGACGCUGCACCCCACGGUUUACGUUCUAGGGGGCGCCAAAGAUGACCCAAAAUCCACAUUCUUAAACUUUUAUUUUGUCCCACUGGCCUCCAAGUUUUCUAGAUAUGCAUGUCAGCCAUCAACACAUUUGUGAAGGAAUUUUUCUCCCAGCCCCCCCCAAGGCAGGAGAAAAAGUCAAGUUAACCCUGCCCAUCGCUCAAUGGCUCAAUCGCAUCGCUCUCCAGGCAACACCGUAAGGAGGAGCAACCUGCCAUUUCGAUAUAUCAUAGCUGUGUUUGUGCCCUCACUCAUGGUCCAGACUUUUUUCAAAUAGGACAUGAAGUUUGUCUGCAGCGAGUGUUUUGGUAGAAACUGCGCCUCCCAUUCAUUAUAAUGGGAAAUGACCACAGACAAGUGCGCACACCAUCUUUGGACCUUGAGUGUGACGCGAUCGGGAGGGGGAGGCGGUCGCGCUAGGGGCGGCGCGACGCGGCUCGGGCCCGACAGUGCCCCACCGGGGCCCUAGUUAUUAUUUUAUUAUUAUUUUCCUCCCCUUUGAACUGGAAAAUGGCCCACUUCCCACUGGCGAAAACUCAUGAAAUUUGGCAGGACGACCGGGCCUGGUGAAAAAUUUGAUAUUCCGAAGUCGCCCAAACAAGAAAAUGCAAAAUGGCUCCAUAGCGCCCCCUAAGGUGAAAAUUCACACUAUUGACUGUCACGCCUGUACGCUUUGUCAAAAUGACACAAAAAUUGACACACACAUGUAUCUCAAUAAGAUCUACAAAAAAGUCAGUGCGGGCGUAUCUGUCAAAUGUACGGUUAAAGGGUUAUUUCGCAUUUUUUGCCGAUCCGCACACAUUGGAAUUUCGCUAACUCCUCCGAAGGCUUUUGUUCCACCGGCACCACAUUUGCUCAGGCCAAUCUACACCCCAUGGCCAUUAAAAGUUAUUCAAAUCAUGACGCUGCACCCCACGGUUUAGGUUCUAGGGGGCGCCAAAGAUAACCCUAAGAUCCACAUAUUUAAAAGUCUAAUAACUUUUUAUUUUUGCCGUCACUGGCCUCCAAGUUUUCUAGGAUGAUGCAAUGUCCAGCCAUCAACACAUUUGUGAAGGAAUUUUUACUCCCCAAAAGAGCGCCCCCCCAUGGCAGGAGAAAAAAGUCCAUUUUUUCUUGUCCCCUAAGGUGAAAAUACACAUUGUUGAGUGUAACACCUGUACGCUUUGGCAAAAUGACACAAAAAUUGACACACACAUGUAUCUCAAUAAGAUCUACGAAAAAGUCAAUGCGCGCGUAUCUGUCAAAUGUACGGUUAAAGGGUUAUUCCGCAUUUUUUGCCGAUCCGCACACAUUGGAAUUUCGCUAACUCCUCCGAAGGCUUUCGUUCCACCGGCACCACAUUUGCUCAGGCCAAUCUACACCCCAUGGCCAUUAAAAGUUAUUCAAAUCAUGACGCUGCACCCCACGGUUUAGGUUCUAGGGGGCGCCAAAGAUAACCCUAAAAUCCACAUAUUUAAAAGUCUUAUAACUUUUUAUUUUUGUCCUCUCUGGCCUCCAAGUUUUCUAGGAUGAUGCAAUGUCCAGCCAUCAACACAUUUGUGAAGGAAUUUUUACUCCCCAAAAGAGCCCCCCCCAUGGCAGGAGAAAAAAGUCAAUUUUUUCUUGUCCCAUAAGGUGAAAAUACACAUUGUUGACUGUCACGCCUGUACGCUUUAUCAUAUUGACACAAAAUUUGACAAUCACAUGUAUCUCAAUAAGAUCUACGAAAAAGUCAAUGCGCGCGUAUCUGUCAAAUGUACGGUUAAAGGGCUAUUUUGCAUUUUUUGCCGAUUAGCACACAUUGGAAUGUGGCUAACUCCUCCUAAGUCUUUCGUCCCACUGACACCAAAUUUGCUCAGGCCAAUCUACACCCCAUGGCCAUUCAAAGUUUUAAAAAUCAUGACGCUGCACCCCACGGUUUACGUUCUAGGGGGCGCCAAAGAUGACCCAAAUAUCCACAUUCUUAAAAGAAUCCACCCCCCCCAUCCCCCAUCCCCCAUCCCCCAUCCCCCAUGGCAGGAGAAACAGUCAAGUUUUUCCUGCCCAUCACUCAAUGGCUCAAUCGCAUCGCUCUCCCGGCAACACCGUAACGAGGAGCAACUUGCCGUUUGGAUAUAUCCUAGCUGUGUUUGUGCCCUCACUCAUGGUCCAGACUUUUUUCAAAUAGGACAUGUAGUUUGUCUGCAGCGAGUGUUUUGGUAGAAACUGCGCCUCCCAUUUAUUAUAAUGGGAAAUGACCACAGACAAGUGCGCACACCAUCUUUGGACCUUGAGUGUGACGCGAUCAGGAGGGGGAGGCGGUCGCACUGGGGGCGGCGCAACGCGGCUCGGGCCCGCCAGUGCCCCAACGGGGCCCUAGUUUGUUAUUAUUAUUAUUAUUAUUAUUUUUCCUCCCCUUUGAACUGGAAAAUGGCCCACUUCCCACUGGCAAAAACUCAUGAAAUUUGGCAGGACGACCGGGCCUCGUGAAAAAUUUGAUAUUCCGAAGUCGCCCAAACAAGAAAAUGCAAAAUGGCUCCAUAGCGCCCCCUAAGGUGAAAAUUCACACUAUUCACUGUCACGCCUGUACGCUUUGUCAAAAUGACACAAAAAUUGACACACACAUGUAUCUCAAUAAGAUCUACAAAAAAGUCAGUGCGGGCGUAUCUGUCAAAUGUACGGUUAAAGGGUUAUUUCGCAUUUUUUGCCGAUCCGCACACAUUGGAAUUUCGCUAACUCCUCCGAAGGCUUUCGUUCCACCGGCACCACAUUUGCUCAGGCCAAUCUACACCCCAUGGCCAUUAAAAGUUAUUCAAAUCAUGACGCUGCACCCCACGGUUUAGGUUCUAGGGGGCGCCAAAGAUAACCCUAAGAUCCACAUAUUUAAAAGUCUUAUAACUUUUUAUUUUUGCCCUCACUGGCCUCCAAGUUUUCUAGGAUGAUGCAAUGUCCAGCCAUCAACACAUUUGUGAAGGAAUUUUUACUCCCCAAAAGAGCGCCCCCCCAUGGCAGGAGAAAAAAGUCCAUUUUUUCUUGUCCUCUAAGGUGAAAAUACACAUUGUUGAGUGUAACACCUGUACGCUUUGGCAAAAUGACACAAAAAUUGACACACACAUGUAUCUCAAUAAGAUCUACGAAAAAGUCAAUGCGCGCGUAUCUGUUACAUGUACGGUUAAAGGGUUAUUCCGCAUUUUUUGCCGAUCCGCACACAUUGGAAUUUCGCUAACUCCUCCGAAGGCUUUCGUUCCACCGGCACCACAUUUGCUCAGGCCAAUCUACACCCCAUGGCCAUUAAAAGUUAUUCAAAUCAUGACGCUGCACCCCACGGUUUAGGUUCUAGGGGGCGCCAAAGAUAACCGUAAAAUCCACAUAUUUAAAAGUCUUAUAACUUUUUAUUUUUGUCCCCACUGGCCUCCAAGUUUUCUAGGAUGAUGCAAUGUCCAGCCAUCAACACAUUUGUGAAGGAAUUUUUACUCCCCAAAAGAGCGCCCCCCCAUGGCAGGAGAAAAAAGUCAAUUUUUUCUUGUCCACUAAGGUGAAAAUACACAUUGUUGAGUGCUACGCCUGUAUGUUUUGUCGUAUUGACACAAAAUUUUACAUACACGUGUAUUUUAAUAAGAUCUUCGAAAAAGUCAAUGGCCACGUAUCUGUAAAAUGUACGGUUAAAGGGUUAUUUUGCAUUUUUUGCAGAUUCGCACACAUUGGAAUUUCGCUAACUCCUCCGAAGGCUUUUGUUCCACCGGCACCACAUUUGCUCAGGCCAAUCUACACCCCAUGGCCAUUAAAAGUUAUUCAAAUCAUGACGCUGCACCCCACGGUUUAGGUUCUAGGGGGCGCCAAAGAUAACCCUAAAAUCCACAUAUUUAAAAGUCUUAUAACUUUUUAUUUUUGUCCUCACUGGCCUCCAUGUUUUCUAGGAUGAUGCAAUGUCCAGCCAUCAACACAUUUGUGAAGGAGUUUUUUCUCGUUAAAAGAGCGCCCCCCAUGGCAGGAGAAUAAAGUCAAGUUUUUCCUGUUCAUCAUUCAAUGGCUCAAACGCACUGCUCUCUCGGCAAAAGCGAAAGGAGGAGCAACUUGCCAUUUGGAUAUAUCUUAGCUGUGUUUGUGCCCUCACUCAUGGUCCAGACUUUUUUCAAAUAGGACAUGGAGUUUUUCUGCAGCGAGCGCUUUGGUAGAAACUGCGCCUCCCGUUCAUUAUAAUGGUAAAUGACCACAAACAAGUGCGCACACCAUCUUUGGACCUUGAGUGUGACGCGAUCGGGUGGGGGAGGCGGUCGCGCUGGGGGCGGCGUGACACGGCUCGGGCCCGCCAGUGCCCCAACGGGGCCCUAGUUUUUCUUUUUCCUCCCCUUUGAACUGGAAAAUGGCCCACUUCCCACUGGCGAAAACUCAUGAAAUUUGGCAGGACGACCGGGCCUGGUGAAAAAUUCGAUAUUCUGAAGUCGCCCAAACAAUAAAAUGCAAAAUGGCUCCAUAGCGCCCCCUAAGGUGGAAAUUCACACUAUUGACUGUCACGCCUGUACCCUUUGUCAUAUUGACACAAAAAUUGACACACAUAUGUAUCUCAAUAAGAUCUACAAAAAAGUCAGUGUGGCCGUAUCUGUCAAAAUUACGGUUAAAGGGUUAUUUCGCAUUUUUUGCCGAUCCGCACACAUUGGAAUUUCGCUAACUCCUCUGAAGGCUUUCGUUCCACCGGCACCACAUUUGCUCAGGCCAAUCUACACCCCGUGGCCAUUAAAAGUUAUCAAAAUCAUGACGCUGCACCCCAAGGUUUAGGUUCUAGGGGGCGCCAAAGAUAACACUAAAAUUCACAUAUUUAAAAGUCUUAUAACUUCUUAUUUUUGUCCUCACUGGCCUCCAAGUUUUCUAGGAUGAUGCAAUGUCCAGCCAUCAACACAUUUGUGAAGGAAUUUUUACUCCCCAAAAGAGCGCCCCCCCAUGGCAGGAGAAAAAAGUCCAUUUUUUCUUGUCCCCUAAGGUGAAAAUACACAUUGUUGAGUGUCACGCCUAUACGCUUUGUCAAAAUGACACAAAAAUUGACACACACAUGUAACUCAAUAAGAUCUACGAAAAAGUCAAUGCGCGCGUAUCUGUCAAAUGUACGGUUAAAGGGUUAUUCCGCAUUUUUUGCCGAUCCGCACACAUUGGAAUUUCGCUAACUCCUC